rnacentral:lncRNA from 1 species
GGUGGUGGUGGGGGUGGGGGGUUCUCCCGAAGUAGUAUGAACCCUGACCUUGUUUUUCUUGAAUAUCAAGUGUACUUCUGUAUUUCUCAUCUUGGCGUCAGCCGUCAGUUAUUCCAUUUUGAGAAAGACACAAAACAAUGAAUCCUCACAUAGAUCAAUAGAACCUACACAAAUCAAACUUUUUAAUGAAAUUCAUUAUCGUCAUUAAUUACCUGCUGUAGAGUUUGUAUUUGAGUUGUGCACAAAAGGAGAAGAUCAAGUCCACAAGAGAUUCUCGGGUGAGUCAGAGGAUCCAAAGAUCGAGAAAGAAACAAACUUAAAAGCCUAAGCAUGUUUCAAUAUAAGUAAAGCACGUUACACCCAUCUUAGCCCGAAGUAGAAAUGUGUCGUUUUCUCGUAUGCGAGUGUUGAUCAAAACUAGGCUUGCAAUUUUGGCCCGAUUUUGGCUUUUAGUUUAUUCGAUUAUGGAUUCUAAAAUGAUCAGCAAUAUUAUAAAAUUAAUUCAUUUAUUGAUUUGGUUUACUACGACAGUCAGUUUGUGACGUAAGAAAAAAAAGACAAUCAGUCAGUUUGUUUAAUUUAAAAUAAACCAAUUUUAAAAUAUUUCGAACUGAUUUUUUUUUUUACUUUAAAAUACAUAUAUUAACCAAUGAGUUAAAUCUAGAUAAACAAAAGAACUAAGAGCAUGAUUGGUUUUCCCGCUACCAUCCGCAAACGCAGCUUUUGCGAUUGGUAGCGGUUGACAGCGUUUCGAAACAAUCAUACAAACCGCUACAAAUCGCUUCAAACCGCUCCGAACCUCUUAAAAUCAAAAGUUGGUUCCAGCUAGCGUUUGCGGUUGCGGGCGGUUGCGGGAGAAUAAUUUUUUUUUCUUUUUUUUUCAAAAACCAUAUAAAUAUAAAAAUAAAAAUAAAAAUAAAAUUUUUAAAAUGGAAUUAUAAAAAUACUAAAAUAUAUCUAUUAUAUUUUAAUUAAUAUUAUAAAUUUUUAAAAUAAAAAUAUUUUCUAUAAUUUAAAAAAUUUAAAACUAUAACUUUGAAAAUAUAAUUUACAUAUUUAUUAUAAUAUUAUGAUUUUUGAUAUUUUUAUAAUUAUAUAAAAUGUAAAUAUUGUUAAUUUAUUAUUUAACCACUGCUGUAUUUGGUAGUUAACCAGUCAUAAGUAUCCCGCAAACGCACCAAUUUCUAACCGCAGAACCAAUCGUACAAAUCUCUUAAAACCGCUAGAAACCGCAACCACCCGCAUCCGCAAACGCCCGCAGCCGCAACCGCAACAGCUGCGUUUAAACCAGUCAGACCCUAAGUCUGAGAAUUUUACCAAAACCACAACUCUAAAAUUUAAAGAAAACACACAAAAAUUGGUAAAAGACACUCCUCUGAAAGCAAAAAAAAAAUACCAAGCCAACCUAAAACUUAAUUAAAACAAAAGAUACAAUCAAAUGUAACCAAGUAAGAAAGAGAUGCACAAUAUCCACAUAAGUAUAGAACGAGCAGUAUUCGCGGCAGUGCAAAGCUCAAGAGAAGCUUCUUGGCGGACUAACACUCGAACCGGAGAUGCCCUAGGAACCACGAGCAAAACACAAGAGACCUAUAAACCAACAAUAAACCAUAACCGAGAAUCAACCAUUUAACCACCUAAUCUUCAACUUAAAAGGUAUAAAAUAUGAACUAUGCAUCCCGAAAUAAGCCCAGCCUUCCAAGAAUAGUCUAAGAAAGACCAAAGAUGAGAACUAUUUAUUUAACUACUCUAGGGACGGUAGAAUAGGCAACACAAAGAUUAACCAAACUAAAAAGAAGCUAAUCGACGAAAACCAAACCCAAACAAGCAACUAAACCGAAGCUAUCCCAGACCAGCAAAAACAAAUCAAACCCAAGAACAACACCUGAACAAAGAAACUAACCAACCCACAAACACAAAAUUAAACCGAAGAAAAUUCAUAUACUUGCAUGCAAUUAAAGGUGAAGAACUAAGAGAGAACCGCGUUGAGCAAGAGGAACCAAAGAGAUAUAUAUUGCUAACAACCAUCCAUCAGAAACUUUCGGCUCAGAUCUUAGUAGAAUCCUAGCAACAGCGGAAUGCAAACAACACCACGACAACAUUAAAAGCACUACCACCUUUAAAAGCUCUCCCUCUUGAGAAGCCAUGGACCUCUAUAAGUUCAGAGAGAUUCAUAAGAUAAUCGGUAAAAAUCCGGAGAAAUUCGAACAAGAAAAAUGACAAAGAAAGGAAAAAAGCACUAUGGAAGUACAAUGGCUUAGUGAUCAAGAUUUAAAAAGGCUUAGACACUAGGUUUGGGAUUCGAUUGCCAGAAGAUGUAAUUUUUUUGCAGAUUUUAGAAUGCAAGGCUUAUCGGAAGUUGAAUAUCGUAGAUACAUAAACGUUCACCGAUCUAUGUGUUACAGAGAGAACUACAUUGUAGAAUCAUUGUAUGUGAAUGUGUUCAUCAUAUUGUUUUUUGUUGUAGGUACUUUAAUCAUCAAUAAAUAGAUAUAUACAUUAUAUAAUGAUGUAGUUGAUUUCACUAGUGUUAAAGAAGAAAACAAAGCAUAAAAGGCAAAACAGAAAAUAGUACAAGGGUGGCAAGACUAGUGAACCACCAACCACACAAAGCAAAAAAUGACAACCGAAGUAUAUAAGAUGGAUUUUUUUGAGUCAUUUAGAUAAAUAUACAUGAAACAUCUCACAGUUGCAAAAACGUGUAAUACUUUACAUAAUUAGUCGAUAUAUAUAUGCAGCUGGGACAAAUAACGCAUAAGCCCUUCAUUAUCAGUUUUUUUUUACGUAUACCCUAUUUCUAACAGAAAUAAUAAAAGCUAGAUAGGGUCAAAAUUGGAAUAAAUGAAAGUGAGCAGUGUAUAAAUAGUGGCCAGCGUUAGAAAACUAGUUAUGUCUACAUCCAUGUAUAUUCAAUGCAAUUGCUCUUUUUUUUGGUGUAAUAGAUUGUAUCAUGAGCGAUUUGCAACAAAAUUACACAAUAAGUAAUAAAUUUGCAAGGAUGGAGUAAAAGCACAAAAAAACAUGGUUGUCAGUAGCUUUUGUCGGGAGUAUUUUACCAUUUGCCCCUUUCAUCAAACACACUUACUCAUAUAUAUGUAAUAUGCAAGUUAGCUGGAUAUAAUUUCACAUAUAUGGAUCAAUUUAAAAUUAGCUGGAUAUAUAGUUAAUAUGUAAGUUAGCUGGAUAUAAUCUCACUUAUAUGGAUCAUUUUUAAAUUAGCAUUGUUAUAUUCUGAUUUAGCUAUAUAUUUUUCAUGUUAACUGGUAUUUAAUUUAUAUUUACCGGUUAUUAUAUCAAUUGGUGGUGGUUAUUUUUUAUCAAUUCGGAUAAAUAAAAAAUUAACUCUCUAAUAAAUCACAAAACAUAUGAUUAGAUAUAGAUGUCCAGCUAAACAUAGAAUUAAAUCUUUAACAAAUCGCAAUACAUAUGAUUAAAAUGGUUGUUUAGCCAGAUAUACAUACAAAAUUCCCCUGAGAAAUAAAACAAAAAAAUGGUGUGCAAGUGAUCAGCGGAGGAGGAGUCAGUUGGGGAGAUGAUCCUUUCUUCCUGGCUUUGUUAUUCAACCUGCAAAAAUCAUGACCAUGAAAGAAAACAAAAUUAAAACACAAAAUGAUACAAAGAUUAUAUAAACUGCACAUACACAGACAUAGACCUAUACAUACAUAGAUACAUAUAUGUAUAGUUAUUUAGACAAGAACCCAUGAAACUAGAGGAAGAGACAAAGAAAGAGAAGAAACAAAAACACAGAAGAUUUUAUUCGUGUGCUAUUCCAUUAAUACAAAAGAUUGAAGCUUUAAAGAUGGAAAUUGAGAGUACCCAGAAGACAAUACGGAAAGAAGCUUUAAGCUUUUGUCUUUGUCUGAAACCGGAAAAUGAGAUCCUCGAGGAAAAAAAACGGAUGAGCUCAAACAGAUAACUACGAAGCUUUUUUUUUUUUUCAAAAAUGGAUACAAAAUCGAAGCUUUCAUUUUUGCUGUGAAUUUGUAGAGACUAGAGAGAGAGAGGCGAAGUGAACAAAAAGAAAGAAUAAACAUCGAAAAGAGCUUUGCAAAGUUGACGAGGCUAUAGGUAAAAGUUUUAUUAUAGAUAAGAGUUUUAUACAAGAGUAGCAGUGUAAUUAAAAAAAUACACAUCAGCGAAAAAAUGUGCUUUCCUUCCUGUGCAAAUAUGCACUUAGUUUGUUUUGUACAGGGAGUGAGUGCAAUUACUCUUGUAUCAUUCUCAAUUAAUUAAACUAACUAAAAAUAAAUGAAAUUAAUUGAAAUUAGCUAAAACUAUUGGUAUUUUAUCAAAAUGACUCAGAGCUCGACCAAAACUUAACAAAAAUUGAAUGUCUUUAGUUAAACUCAAUAAAAAGAAUUAGAAAAAGAAUAAAUUAAUCCAAAUCAAACCAAACUAGUAUAUUUUUGUGUUUAAUUUUUCAGUUUUCGAAUUGACCAAAAGUAAUGAACGAAACCGCAUAAAUUUCUGAGAACAUUAAAAGAUAAAUGGGAGACAAAGAGCUUGAUAUGUCUAUAAUGUUUUUCCCAAAAGAAAACACUUAAAACCUCGUGUUCAGCCAGCAGUUCCGACGAUUGGUCCCAACUCGAGCUUCUGCUGAGAGAGACAAAAACUCAAAAAAGUUAAAAGACUUAAAAAAUGAACCAGACGCGACGAAAGAGACGACCCGAUCCAUCUCCGCCGCCGCUGAUCUCUCCCCGCGUGAGAAACAUCUUCCUCCUCCUCACUUUCCUUUUCGUCAUCUACAUCCUCUUCUCCUACGGCACUUUCCGCCGCGACCGAUUCUCAUCCCUCGCCCGCUCCCUAUCCGUCUUCCCCACCCAACGCCGCCACUUGCUCUUCUCCAUCGCCGCCUCCCACGGCUCCUGGCUCUCCCGCAGCUCCUACGUCCGCCUCUGGUACUCCCCCGAGUCCACGCGCGCCGUCGUCUUCCUCGAUCGCGGCGGAUUCGACCCCGAUCCAGCUCUCCCCCCUGUAACCGUCUCCGAAGACGUCUCCAGGUUCCCUUACAACUUCCCCGGCGGUCUCCGAUCCGCGAUCCGCGUGGCUCGCGUCGUCAAGGAGGCGGUUGAUCGGGGGGAGGAUAACAAAGACGUGCGGUGGUUCGUUUUCGGGGAUGAUGACACUGUCUUCUUUGUGGAUAAUCUGGUGACGGUUUUGUCCAAGUAUGAUCAUAGGAAGUGGUGGUACGUUGGGAGUAACUCGGAGUUUUAUGAUCAGAACGUGAGGUACUCCUUUGAUAUGGCAUUUGGUGGCGGUGGAUUCGCUAUCAGUGCUUCGCUUGGGAAGGUUCUUGCUAAGGUUUUGGAUUCUUGUUUGAUGAGGUACUCUCACAUGUAUGGUAGUGACUCCAGGAUCUUCUCUUGUGUGGCUGAGCUUGGUGUUGCAUUGACUCACGAGCCUGGGUUUCAUCAGGUAAAACGAGAGUUCUCCUUAAAGUUCCAACUUUAAUGCUGAUUGCUGAACAAGAGAGGUUUCUAAAUUUGGCAACUUUAGCUCAAUUAACAAUGCAUUAGUUUACUUUCUUUAUUUGGUUGAUUUUGGGUAAAUGUAGUUGGUAUGUUUAUUCUUUAAUCUGGACGUUACUAUAGAUUUUGUUGUAACAAUGAUUGAGAUUGUCGAAAAGCUUUGAAUUUGAUUUAUUGGAAUUGACAAGAUGAUAGUUUAUACAGUAACAUCGAUGCGCUGAUUGCUUAACCGGGAGAGGUUUCUAAAUUUGGAAACCUCAGUGAACAAUGCAUUAGCUUACUUUCCUUAUUUGGUUGAUUUUGGAUAAGUGUAGUUAUGUCUGUUUCUUUUUUUUAGUAGCCUGCUACUAAGAGUUAAUCUGAAUCUUACUAUAAAUGUGCUCUUUUUCAUAGAUUGAUGUAAGAGGGAACCUAUUUGGACUGUUAUGUGCACACCCUUUAUCUCCACUGGUAUCACUUCAUCACUUGGACGCAGUUGACCCGUUCUUUCCGAAAACAAACCGGACAGAAUCGGUGGCUCGUCUCAUCAGGGCUGCGAGUUUUGAUUCAGCAAGGAUUUUGCAGCAGAGUGUGUGCUAUGAUUCUUCUAACACAGUGACUGUUUCAGUUGUGUGGGGUUACGCGGUUCAAGUUUACGAAGGCAAUAAACUCCUCCCGGAUCUCCUCACCGUGCAAAAGACCUUUUCUACAUGGAGGAGAGGGUCAGGGGUCCGAAGCAAUUAUAUGUUCAGCACAAGGGAUUAUCCCAGGGACCCAUGUGCGAGACCGCUUGUCUUUUUCUUGGAUGGUUUAGGAUCGGAUGGAACUGGAGGGACAUGGAGUAGCUAUGGCCUCCAUAGUGUCGGAAACUGCCGUAGAGCAGAAGCUGUUGAGGGACUACGGAACAUCCGAGUUCUGUCUCGUAAGCUGGAACUUAAUGGUGAACAGGUAUAGUUUGUAAAUACUCCUAAGCUUCUCAGUAGAGGAUCUUUGAUUUGGCCUGGAUUCACAUUUUUUUAAUUUUCUUUGAAAUAUAAAUGGCAGAUGAAUCCGCCUCGCCGCCAGUGUUGUGACAUCUCAUCGCCUUAUAACAAAUCAAUGGUCAUUAAUAUAAGACAAUGCAUGCCUGAUGAGCUAAUUGCCAUGAACACUUAGUGUUUUUUCUUGGCCAUUAGCUUUCAAGAAUCAGCUAACCAAAGCCUGAGCCUAUGAUUCGUCUGCUAUAAGACCAAUGGCAUAAUUGUAGGUAAGUUUCUUGUUGCUUCAUAGUUUUUGUGUACAACCAUAAUGCUCAAUAGAACUUAAUACCUUUUGUCUCGUAGCCUGUAGGUGGGUCACUUUUAUCUUCCUGUUCAAAUCUGGUCCAUACAUAAACUCCUACAGUUUCCCGACCAAGUUUGUUUCUUUGUAUCUCCCUUUGCAAAACUCCGAAGGAGAAGAAUAAGUCUUAGAUCCUUCCUCUGUAAAUAUGGUUGUGCAGGCGUUGAUGUCACUCGUACUUAGAUUCAAAGUUUUGAGUUUUUUUCUUUUUAAUAUUAUACCGGAGUUACUUUGCUCUUUGAAUGUUAAGCGCUUGUUUGCUCAUCAAUUUUGGAAGGUCUCAUUUUUUCAUACUAAACCUGUGAAUUGAGUUUGCCACUAAGAGAUUUCAAGAGAUCAUUUACUUUGGAAAUUGAGUUUACCAGUGAAGAAUGCGAAAAGUGAUGCCAGGGGAAUGAAGAAGGCUCUGAGAACAACAGCUACAAGAUCCAAAGAGCUUGUCUUUUAGCAUGUGUACAUGAAGCAAAAUCGAACAUAAUCCUCCACUCAAUUUUGUCUUUUAGCAUGUGUAUUACUGCAAUCCUCACAACAGCACCAAAGCAAAAACAAUUACUAAUGGGAUAAACUUAAUCAUAAACACAAUUGAUCAUCACAAAUGCAACUAGCUGAUCAUGACUUUUGAGGAAGACUUAAAGAAACUAUUUGGUCCAUAGCUCUUGAUUGGUGUUUUGUGUUGGUUUAAGUCUUUGAACCAUGUGCACAAGAAAAAAUUUGCACUCCCUCAAAGCCCAAAGCCGGCACUGAUAGGAAGCACAACAGAGAACCGAACUUAUUAAGACUAUUAUCUACGUUUGGGGUUUUGUUGCCUUGGAAGCUCGGUUACGGUCAAAGGAGGUAUUAGAGCGGGAAAAAAAAGAAGAGAAAUAUCGCCUUUCAUCCCCCCAGCCGACUCAGAGAAAGCUUUAGUUUUCGCGGUCAACCCACUAACCCGUGACGGGUCCGUCAACUGCGACAGCCUUAGUUGGGCUCAAACGCGGGCCAAGGCCCGUAAUGCAUCUCUACACGAAACUUCCUGUUUUUGUUGGUGAUGAAGUCAACGGUGGUGGUUAUACAAAAACCUCUUUAGUUCAUGAUCUAACACCAACAUCGAUGUGAUCUUCAUCUUGUCUCUACCAUCUCUAAUGGAUUCUGCUGCGUCUCCUUCAUCCCUUCCAUCCUCUGUGUCUCACAACUGGGAAUAUCGUGUCUUCCCGAGCUUCUGCGAGGAAGAAAUUAGCAGAGGCUUUUUCGGUUACUUCAAGAAAGAGUUUGAAAGAAAGGGAAUCAAACUAUUCAUUGACAGGAGGGAGUCUUUUGGUCCUGGGCUCAUAGAAGCUAUAAGAAGAUCGAGGAUAGCAAUUGUUAUUUUAUCGAAGCACUACGCUUCAUCAACUUUGCGUCUGGACGAGUUAGUGGAGAUCAUGAAAUGCAGGGAAGAGUGUUGGAUCAAUAAAAGGCAUUGGCCUUUAUUAUAUAAUGUGAAUACAAUGACAUUGGGCUUCUGAUGAUUUAAGCCCAAAAAUAUGUCAAGUAAAUGAAUGAUGGCUAUGGGAUUUGUCCCACAUCGGCCAGGAGAAGAGUAAUAGAGAUGUUUAUAUAUUGCCAAGCACUUGGUGUUGGUUAAACAGCUCAGAGGAAGAGAGAGCUCCCCACGCGCGCACCGCCGUUCGGCCGGCUCGGCUCGGCUCGGGCUCGGGUGGAGGGUCUCUGGCCUGAUAAGAACUAUUUUUUUUGGACCAAGUUAAGCUCAAAAAACAGCAUACAAUUUUAUUUAAAACGACAAGUAGUUUGUCUAGAAAAUAAAAACGUCAUGCAUGUUAUCUUCUCGAAAGUUUUAAACGAGAUAAGAGAGAGUCUUGAGGAAGAAGUUUCGGAACUCAACUUCCCUCGAUCUCCGCGAGAUUCUCGCCCACGUGCAGCAGCUGUUGCGGGAAGUGGGUUGUCUCCGUCUCUUUAAAUAUCGCCUCUCAUCUUCAUUCAUUUCUUAACUUUUUUCACAGCAAAAUACCAUCAAAAACUCCUACGCGUAAGUCUAGAGAGUGUUUCGUAGAUUAUUAGUUCGUAGAGGUUCUUCACGAGUACUGCGUGAUAACCUUACAUGGUUUUAUCCUGGGACUCAUAUUCGUACAGAUCCGUCGCACUAACGGAGCGAAUAUUAAGAGUUAAGGAAAGAGAUUCGUCUCGACUCCAUGCCUUCGUUUCCAUUUCGGUUUUGAAUCGUCUAUUUUUUCCUUAACAUCGUAUUUAUAUUAUCGUUUAACUCGAACCGGUUUUACGGCUUCUACAAAGAGUUGGGUCAAAUAGUGGUUCCUUUUUUUUAUGAAGUGGGAGCUGCAGAUGUGAAGAAGCAGAGUGGAUAUUUUGGAUCUGUCUUUGAGAAAGCUUGUGUGGGGAGAUCAGUGGAGGACGUUGAGAAAUGGAAACGAGCUCUGAACGAACUGUCCUUUAUCUUUGGUUAUCUUUCAGGGAACUGGUUAGUCAUUUUGAUUCCUCCUAAAUUUUGUUCACAUGCCAAAGUAUAUGUGCAGAUUAAAAUCUAUCAACACUGCUCUAAUGAUGCGAUCUAGAAGAAUAAUCUAAUCUAUUAAUUUAGGAUCAUAUUUUUAUCUACUUACAAAAUUAGUUAAUAAUAAAUCAACUAUAAAUUUUAUUUUUUUGAUUAUAACAAAAACGGUUGAAAAAAAAUCUAACAAGAUCUUACCAAAAAAUUUAAAUAUUUUUAUAAAAUAACACAUUAGUUAAUUUUGUUAUUUGUAAUAUAAUAUUAUCAUAAAUCAGUGGUAACUAAAAUUUUAUUAUAAAAAAAAAGAAAAUAAAAAUUCUAUACUAUUUUUAUAAUUCUAUAAUUAUAUUUUGUAUUAUAUAAAAAUAGUGUCAUAUGAAUUAAAUAUGAUAAAUUAUAUUAAAUAGGUAAAUUAACAAUUUUUCUAUUUUUAAAUUGUUUCAUUUAAAUAAAUCAUGACUCAUCAUUAAAAUGGGAGAAAAUUCGUAAAAUAUAUAAUAUUUUUAUACAAAAAUAGAUUUAUUAACAUAUGUUAAACUUUUAUGUAUACAACUAUAUAUUAUCUUUUUAUUUAUUUUUAAACUCUCAACAAUAUAUUGUUUAAAAAUGUAUAUACAAAAAUAUAAUAGUGUAUGAUAACCUUUAGUUCAUAUACUAUUUAAAAAAUAGGUUAUUAGAAAACUAUAAAAUUUUAGUAAUUCAUUUAAAAUAUUAAUGAAAAGUCAAAUUUUGACUAUAAAUUUAUGUUUUAUUAUAAUUAUAACAAAAUCUGUUGAGAAAAAUUUAGAAAAUAUUACCAAUUCAAAUAUUUUCUAUAAAAUAAUAUGUUAUUGUAGUAACAAAAAAAUAAAAAUUCAUAUAAUCUUCCAAACUCAAAAAUAGUUGUUUAAUUUUCCAAAGUUUAAUGACAAAAUAUAAAAUUUUAAAAAUAAAUAUUUUAACUCAAAAUGAUAAUUUUUCAAAUUUUAUGAAAGAUAAAAUCAUAGAUGAUAAAGAAUAUUUUUUUAAAUGCACCACGAAAAACCAAACUAUAUAUGUUGUAAAAAUUGAAAGCAAAUAAUUUUAAUUCUUAAUGAAAAAAACAUAAUAUCAUAACAUCCAAAAAAUAUCAUAUAUCAAUAAAAUUUACUAAAAUAAUAGGAUUGCAAUAUUUAAACAAAACAGUGUUUUUAUUUAUAAAUCCCGUAAAAUGCUAAAAAGAUAUAUGUUAAAGUAUAUAUUUUAAACAUAACAUGUAAAUAUAAGUUAUCUUAUACAUAUUUAUUUUCUAAAAUAUAAAUAAUUAAAUUUAAAAAAUUUAUUAUAUGCAAAAUGUAUAAAUUAAAGAAAAAACAUAUUUUAAAGGAGUUUCUCUAUUUGGUUAUUUUAGAUUGUUAUUUUAUGGAGGAAUUACAUGCUUACCACUUUCAUGGUAUUAUUAUUCAUCUUUACCACCACUAAAAGGAUAUUUUCAAAAUACAUUGUUCAUUGAGUGGCAAAAGACUCUUAUAUUCAUGUUCUCUAUAUAUGUAACAAAUAUUUAUUUAAAUAAAUAAAUAAUAUAAAAAUAUUUUUUUAUGUUUCCGAAUUAUAAUUUCUCAAAUUCAAACUUUUGUGUAAUUAAUUUUUUGGAAUUUUUUAAUUUUUUCAGAAUUCUUUUUUGAAAAUUGAAAAUUUAGUUUUAAACUAACUUUUUAAAAAAGAAUUUAUUUUUUAAGUAUUUAUUUAUAUAUUUAUUGGAAUCUUAAAUUUUAUAUUCCAAAAACCCUACCGCACCAUUCAACUUUAAACCUUAAGUCUAGAUUAGUUAAACCUUAGGAGUAUAAAUUUUUUUUACCCUUCAUUAAAAACGAGGGUAAAAGUGGUUAGCGUAAACAUGAAAAGUAGUAAUAUGAAUGUGAUAUUUGUGGUAAUUUCCAUUAUUUUAUUGUACCUAACUAGAAAAUAUAUUAGUAAGUAAUAAAAAUUAAUAACAAAGUAAAAUUUAUUAAACAAAUUAUUAUAUAUUAAUAAUGCCGAAUAAAAAUAUAAAAAAUAAUAUGAAAGAGUUACACAAUAUAUAACACUAAAAUAGAAAUUAUAUAUUUAAAAUAUUUGUAAUAAUAUCAAAUACAUUUAUAAAAUGAAAAAAAAAUCUGCAUGGACAUUCUCAUUAAGAGCACUAGUGUAGUAUAUUAUUUUAUGGAAUGUCUAAAGUAUUUGUUAGUCAAAUAUAUAUUAACAAGUUCUGAUCUCUCCCUUGUUAGGAAAAGUGAGGAUGAUAUGAUGGAAGAAGUUGCAAAUAAUCUUUCAAACAUGUUAAAUAAGGCUGCCCCAUCAACGGAUUUCGAUGGAUUUGUUGGAACGGAGAAUCAUAUCACACAGAUAAGUUCACUGUUGUCAUUAGAUUUCGUUGAUGACGUGAGGAUGGUUGGAAUCUGGGGUCCUGCAGGAAUUGGGAAAACAACCGUAGCCCGAGCCUUAUAUUGGAAACUCUCUAAUAAUUUUGAAGUCACUGAUUUUAUGGAGAGUAUAAGGGGAAGUCCUGAGAACCAUCAUCCGUUCGUUUUGAAUUUACAAGAACAAUAUAGGAAAGUGCUUUUAGUUCUCGAUGAUGUACAUGAUUCAAAGCAGCUAAAAGCCAUGGCUGGCAAUCCUCAGUGGUUUGGCCGCGGAAGCAGGAUUAUCAUCACAACGAAUGAUAAGAAACUUUUGAAGGCACAUGGGAUCGACCAAAUAUACCAUGUGGAAUUUCCAUCAACAUUGGAAGCUCUUGAAAUCUUCUGUCUAUAUGCUUUUGAUCAAAAGUCUCCCUAUGAUGGUUUUGAGGAGCUCUCCAUGGAAAUUACAGGACUUGCCGGCAAUCUUCCUUUGGGUCUAAGUGUUUUUGGUUCAUAUCUACGAGGCAUGUCAAAAGGAGAGUGGAUGCAUGCACUUCCUAGACUUAGGACAAGUCUCGAUGCAAACACUGAGAAAGCAUUAAGGUGCGACUAUGAGACAUUGUGUGAUAAAGAAAAAGCUUUAUUUCUCCAUAUGGCAUGUUUUUUCAAAGGUGAGAGAACAAGCAAUCUGGGAGAGUAUUUUAGCAACUUGGACAUCAGGCGUGGGCUUCAAGUCUUAGCUGAAAAAUCUCUCAUAUCUAUAGACAAUGGGGCACGAUUAGUGAUGCACAAUUUACUAGAACUACUGGGUUUAGAAAUAUCCCGUAAAGAAUACAUAGAUGAGAAUAGGAGACGUGCUCGGGAGAUUGGUGAUGUCCUCGCCGAUGAUACAGUAAGUUUUUACAAUCUCCUCGCCUUGCUCAUUUGAUAAUUCUCUCACAAGUUUCUGUGUAUUGAGAACUUAGAUGUAUUAGAUAUGGAAAGGGUUGUUAUGCCAAUGUCAUUAACCUACUUCUAGCUGAUACACUAGCUAUAUAUUGUAAUAUGUUCGCCUCUAAUAAGACUUACAUUCCACAAUCUAUAUAUUUUGGAUCUUUUUCAGGGAUAUGUAUCUGCUCGAGGCACAGAUCACGUCUUAACUGCAAUCAAGGACGAAAUAAGCAUUGACGAGAGAGCCAAUGAAAGGACACUUGACUCUUUACCGGCUCUUUCUCCUUUGCCUUCCAAUUGUACACACCAUGUCUUUGCUAGUUUUCGCGGGGUAGAUGUUCGUAAAAGUUUCCUCCGUCACAUGCUAAUGGUGCUCAGAAACAAAGGAAUCACCCUAUUCACUGAUAUUGAAAUCGAGACGGGCACAUCGAUUGCUCAUGAACUCAAAGAAGCUAUACACCGAUCGAGGAUCUCAAUUAUCCUAAUAUCAAAUAAGUAUGCUUCUUCAACGUGGUGUCUGGACGAGUAGGUGGAGAUCAUGAAGUGUAGGAAAAAGUUGAGUCAAACAGUGAUUCCCAUUUUUUAUGAAGUGGAACCAUCCGAUGUGAAGUGUCAGAGGGGAUACUUUGGAUCUCUCUUUGAUAAAACUUGUGUGGGGAGAUCAGUGGAAGACGUUGAGAAAUGGAAACGAGCUCUGGACGAAGUGUCCAAUAUCUUUCGUUAUGUUUCAAGGAGCUGGUUAGUCAUUUUUAUGUCUUAAUCAUUUUGGCACGUCAUUGUAUAUUUGUAGUGGCUUUUUUCAUGACUUUCUUUUUGGUUUGAUAUUAUUUUUUUCUAGGGAAAUGGAAGAAAUUAUCGAAAAAGUUGCUAACAAUCUUUCAGACUUGUUAUAUGAGGAUGUACCAUCAGGGGAUUUUGACGGAUUAGUUGGGAUGGAGAAUCAUAUCAUGCAGAUAAGUUCAUUGUUGUCACUAGAUUCCGAUGACGUGAGGAUGGUUGGAAUCUGGGGUCCUUCAGGAAUUGGAAAAACGACCACCGCCCGAGCUUUAUAUAGGAAGCUCUCUAGUAAUUUCACACACACUGCUUUCAUGGAGAGCAUAAAAGCAAUUCGUGAAGAAAUACACACUGACGACCAUGCCUACAUGUUGUAUUUACAAGAAAAACUUUUGUGUCAAACCUUCAACCAUAUGGGUUUGGAGAUACAUCACUUGGGAGUGGCGGAAAAAAGGCUGAAGGAUAAGAAAGUGCUUGUCGUUCUCGAUGAUGUAGAUGAUUUAAAGCAGCUAAAAGCCAUGGCUAAAAAGACUCAGUGGUUUGGCAAUGGAAGCAGGAUUAUCAUCACAACAACUGAUAAGAAACUUUUGAAGGCACAUGGGAUCAAUGAUAUUUACCACGUGGAGUUUCCAUGUGCAUCUGAUGCUCUUGAAAUCCUAUGUCUACAUGCUUUUGGUCAAAAGUCCCCAUAUCUUGGUUUUGAGGAGCUCGCCAUGGAUGUUACACAACUUGCCGGUGAUCUUCCGUUCAGUCCGGUCAUCAAAACUACAACCAUACGACUUGUCCUUGACAUUGCGGUCCAUGGGAACUGGACCAUCAAACAAUUAGAUGUUAACAAUGCGUUUUUGCAGGGUGAGCUUCAAGAAGAAGUCUACAUGAUCCAGCCCCCUGGUUUCAUUGAUCGAGACAGACCAUCACAUGUGUGUAAGCUAAGAAAAGCAAUCUAUGGACUCAAGCAAGCUCCGCGUGCUUGGUACUUGGCAUUGAAACAACAUCUCACUUCCACUGGCUUCACCAACUCUCUCGCGGAUGCGUCUCUGUUCACAAGGAUUGUAAAUGGCAGCUACACUUACAUAUUGAUCUAUGUCGAUGACAUUAUUGUAACUGGAAACGACAAGCAGGUCAUCGAUCAAGUCCUUCAUACGUUUGCGGAUCGCUUCUCCAUCAAGGAUCCGGUUGAUCUUCACUACUUUCUUGGCGUCGAAGCAACAAGAACAACAGAGGGUCUCCACUUAUGUCAGCGUAAAUACAUCAUUGAUCUGCUCAUCAAAACGAAGAUGCACGAUGCUAAACCCGUGACUACCCCAUUACCUACUUCACCGAAACUCACUCUUCAUGGUGGCACUCUUCUCAAAGACUUGACAGAAUACCGGUCAGUUGUCGGGAGUCUUCAGUACCUAGCGUUCACACGCCCAGACAUCUCUUAUGCUGUCAGUAGACUCUCUCAGUUCAUGCACCGCCCCACGACAGAACAUUGGCAAGCAGCGAAGCGCGUCUUACGAUAUCUAGCAGGCACAACAACUCAUGGCAUCCUUCUCUCUCGACGGUCACCUCUCACACUUCAUGGGUUCUCCGACGCAGAUUGGGCUGGUGACACUGAUGACUACAUCUCCACAAAUGCAUACAUCAUCUACCUUGGAUCAAAUCCGGUUUCUUGGUCUUCGAAGAAGCAAAAUGGUGUUGCGAGAUCCUCAACAGAAGCAGAAUACAGGGCUGUUGCGAACACAGCUUCAGAAAUAUGGUGGCUCUGCUCUCUUCUCCAUGAACUUGGCAUCCGCAUUCCGAUAGUCCCUGUGAUCUAUUGUGAUAACAUAGGAGCAACCUAUCUUUGUACUAACCCUGUUUUCCAAUCCAGGAUGAAGCACAUUGCACUUGACUACCACUUCAUACGCCAGCUCAUUCAACUAGGUGCGCUAAGAGUCUCACAUGUCUCCACACACGACCAACUAGCCGACGCCUUGACAAAACCAUUAGCUCGCUCCAAGUUCAAUCAUGCUUGUUCCAAGAUUGGAGUGACUCAAGCCCCUCCAUCUUGCGGGGGUGUAUUAAGGAAACAAGUAUAACUCUAUUUAUGUAAAGGACUUCAUAGUCAUUAGCUUGUACAAAACCCUACAACCCUUGUACCUAUAUAUAACUCUCUGUACAUCUUUGUCUAAUAAUAAGAAUCAUAUUCUAUAAUCUAGAUAAUCCUGAAAUUAAUUCUCAUCAAGGGCACUAGUAUAGUAUAUUAUUUUAUUGGAUGUCUGUAGAGGUAAUAAUUAGCUAAUGUUUGUCAAGUAGAUAUCUUAACAAGUUUUGAUCUCUCCCUUGUUAGGAAAAAUGAAGCAGAAAUGAUCGAAAAUGUUGCUACCGAUAUUUCAAACAAGUUAAAUAUGGCUACGGCGUCAAGAGAUUUCGAUGGAUUAGUUGGGAUGGAGAAUCACAUCACACAGAUAAGUUCAAUGUUGUCAUUAGAUUCCAAUGACGUGAGGAUGGUUGGAAUCUUGGGUCCUGCAGGAAUUGGGAAAACGACCAUCGCCCGAGCCUUAUAUAACAAACUCUCUAAUAGUUUCACACACACUGCUUUUAUGGAGAGUAUAAGGGGAAGUGGUGAGAGAACACACAGUGACGAUUAUGCAUUCAUGUUGCAUUUACAAGAACAAUUUUUGUCUAAAACCUUCAACCACAAGGAUUUGAAGAUACAUCACUUGGGUGUGGCGGAAGAAAGGCUGAAAGACAAGAAAGUGCUUUUAGUUCUCGAUGAUGUAGUUGAUUUGAAGCAGCUAAAAGCCAUGGCUGGCAAUUCUCAGUGGUUUGGCUGCGGAAGCAGGAUUAUCAUGACGACAAAGGCUGCACGUCUUUUAGAAGCACAUGGUAUUGACCAUAUAUACCACGUGGGGCUUCCAUCAUUAGCACAAGCUUAUGAAAUCUUUUGUCUAUAUGCUUUUGGUCAGAAGUUCCCGUAUGAUGGUUAUGAGGACCUCGCCAUGGAAGUUACAGGACUUGCUGGUGAUCUACCUUUGGGUCUACGUGUUUUUGGUUCACAUCUGCGAGGAAUGUCCAAAGAAGAGUGGAUAGAGGCACUUCCUAGACUUAGGACAAGUCUCGAUGGAGACAUUGAAAAGGUUUUAAGGUUCAGCUACGAGGCCUUAUGCGAUAAAGAUAAAGAUUUGUUUCUUCAUAUAGCAUGUUUAUUUGAAGGUGAGAGCAUUAGCUACCUUGAAAAGUGUCUUGCACACAGUGACUUGGAUGUCAGGCACGGUCUUAAGGUCUUGGCUAAUAAUUCUCUCAUAUCUAUAACUGAAGAAGAACGCUUGGUGAUGCAUAAUUUGGUCGAACAACUCGGUAAAGAAAUCGUCCGCCAAGAACACAAAGAUGAACCUGAGAGACGUAAAUUCUUGGUGGAUGCUCGGGAGAUUUGUGACGUGCUUACCGAUAAUACAGUAAGUUUGACAGUCUUUCUUCACCUAUCAUUUGACGCUAAUCGUAUAUAUGUCAUUAACUGCCUUAUGUAACACUGUUUCAGGGCUCUAAAUCUGUUUUGGGUAUAGAUCUCGACAUAAUGGCAAUCAAGGAUGAAUUAUGCAUUGACAAGAGAGCCUUUGAAGGGAUGACUCGACUCCAGUUCUUAAGAUUUAAAAGUCCCUAUGGUUCCGGCAAGAACAACAAGUUGAUCUUGCCCCAGGGUCUGAACAAUCUACCUCGUAAGCUUAGACUCCUAUGUUGGGAUGAGUUUCCUUUGAGAUGUUUGCCUCCUGAUUUUGCUGCUGAGUUUCUAGUCAUCCUUGAGAUGCGGAAUAGCUCUAUUGAGAAGCUUUGGGAAGGAUCUCCUGUAAGUUGUUUUAAAUUAUUUUGUUUUUGGAAAUUAAACAUAUUAUGUGUGUGUUUUAAUUUGUCUACUUGCAUUAUCCAUAUGUACAUCGGCUUCGACACCUCAAGCUGAUGGAUAUGUCUUACUCCUUAAAAUUGAAAGACAUACCUAAUGUGUCAAAUGCCACAAAUCUUGAGACAUUAAUACUCAAUGGUUGUGAAAGUCUGGUGGAGAUUCCUACUUGGUUCAAGAAUCUCUCACGUCUCACACACCUAAAGAUGGUGGGAUGCAAGAAGCUCAAGGAUCUUCCAACCAACAUCAACAUGGAAUCUCUCUAUCACCUAGACCUCAGUCACUGCACACAACUGAAAACAUUUCCAGAAAUUUCCACAAGAAUUGGGUAUCUUGAUCUGGAAAAUACUGGUAUAGAAGAAGUUCCAUCAUCUAUAAGGUCUUGGCCAGAUUUUGCUAAAUUGAGCAUGCGAGGUUGCAAAAGCCUGAGGAUGUUCCCAGAUGUUCUUGACAGUAUGGAAGAGUUGAACUGAGUGAUACCAAAUAAAUUUGUUUGGUCGCGAAAUGGAGGCGUUUGGGACCUCAAUGGGUUUAAGAAUCAUUGUUGACGAAUUAUUUGCAAGGUGGUGGUCACUUUCUACUUCAAUAAUGUCUUCUUAUUUCCUAGCUUUAAGAGGCAUUUGUUACUAUGCCAUGAUCAACAUCAUUGUCAAGAUCGACUCUAGCUGAUUGUAAGAAUAAUGAACUGCCAUAAGUAAAGAAACUGAAACUAUUUCUUUUGGAGACCGAGUCUGCUCAUUAAGAAUGCAAAAAGAGAGGCCACUACGAUGGGAAAAGCAAUGAGAACAAACGCUACAACAGCCAAUGAGUCAUAUUUGUAACCUAAGGCCAUGUUUAUUGCAGGGUUCUUAGGAUGAGGUUAGCGUAAAAUAAGAACUGUUUCUUAACUUUAACUAAGAAAAACUAAGAACCGUCUCUUAAAACUCUUAUUUAAGAACCGGUUCUUAGUUUUUCUUAGUUAAAAGUUAAGAGACGGUUCUUAUAUUACGCUAAAAAUCUCACCCUAAGAUCUCUCUAAUAAACAUGCCCUAAUAAAUCCUCCAAGAAAGUUGAAACUCUCUUCCAAAUACUAUAAUCUCUUUGUCAACAUCUCCGUACUGACAUUCAUUUUUUAAUAGAUAAUUGUAUGUUAAACAAUUAUGACCAAAAUAGCUACAAAUAUUUCACAAUUAUAUUUAGGUUUAAGCUUCUACAUAUUAUUUUUACAAAACACAAUAUUUUUACAUGAAAAGUAUUACAUAUGUAUUUUCUUUUAAUUUCUUGAUACAACUCAACUUUUUAUUAUCCUUAUUACAUCUUAUCUUAUGAUGCCACAAUAAUUUUUAAUUUUGAUGUUGUUGUCGUACACGAGUAUGUGUGAAUAUGAUGAAUAUGUGUUUGUAUGUAUAAGAUAAAUAUAUAAAUAUUAAACAUAUUUUUUUCUAUUGAAAAUAAAAUAGUUGUAUAAAAAUAUAAAAGAAAAACUUAUUAUCAAUAAUUAAUUUCCUUUUUAAAGUCUAAAUAAAAUAAAAAUGUAAAAAUAAUCUUAUUUUUCUUAUAAUUAACUAACUUUACUUUUUAAUAAUUUUGUGUUACAAAAAUAUAAACCAAAAAUAACUUCAAAUAUUUCACCUAAUAUGAUUGUAACAUGUGUUAAUUAAAAAAUUAGAUUGUGAAUAUGUGAAUAAAAACAGUUAUUAUGUGAAAAUAAUUCUUCUUUUCCUAAAAUCCUAAAUAAAAGAGAUUUCUAAAAAAAAAUAUUUUCUAUAUCUUAACCAAUUAAGAUUUUAUUCUUUAAAAAAAAUCAUGAUGAGAGAGAAUUGUAAAAUUUUAUUUAAUAGUAAUUUGUACUUAAAAAUAAUGAUAAACAUGAAAGUAAAAUUUAUUUAAUUAACAAGAAAAUUUGUAAGAAUAUUAGUGAUAUUGAAAAAAAAAGAAUUUUGAAAAUGGCAACUUUUAAAAAUAGUUAAUAUUAACUGGAAAUAAUAAUUUGAUAGAAAUUUAUUUUUGUAAAUCCUAGACAAAAUAAAAUUGUAAAAGAUUAUGGAAUAUUAAUUUUCUUUCCUAAAAUAUAAAAAAUUGUAAAAGAAUAUUUGAUAGUUGUUUUUCUUUUUAAUAUAAAAAAUCCUAAACAGAAGAAAUUUGUAUCAUAUUUUUAAGUACCAACCAAAAGAGAAUUGUAAAAAUUUAUUUGAUAAUAUUUUUAAGAGAGUAUUUGAUGAUGAACAUGAUAUUAAAAAUUAUUUAAUUAAUAAAAGAAGUGUAAAAUUAGUACUGAUACGAAUUGUAAAAAUAGCAAUUUUUUUAUUAAUAAUUAAAAAUAAUUAUUUGAUAGCAAUUUUUUUUCUGAAAUUCUACUGAGAAGAUAAUUGUAAUAAGUUAUAUGAAGUAAUUUUCCUUUUCUAAAAUCAUAAACAAAAUUGUAAAAUAGUAUUUAAUAAUAUUUUUAUUGUAAAUAAAAAACAGAUUUAUAAAAUAUAAUGUUUUUUUUUUUUAAAUCCUAACAAAAUAAAUUUUAAAGACUUAUUUAAUAAAACAUUAAAUUAAUACAUAAGAUCAUGUAUAAUUUUGUCAUUGACUCGAUUGGUGUUUUUGACUUUCAUUUGUAGCCGUUUCAUUUGUACUUAAAAUAUAUUGUAAUUUAUUACUUAGCAAGAAUAAUACAUUUUUCAGCUCAAAAAGAAUAAUACCUUUUUAAUUUAACAAGUUAAUGUUUUUUUUUUGCUAAGGAUGUUAAUAUCAUAAAUGAAAUAAAAGAGUUUUUACAUGAGUAGUGUGGGAAGCGAAAUUCGCACUGUCGAUUUCUGUUUAAAUAAGGAAACAAGGAAAACCCUAAUUUCCCAGAGGACCCGGAUAUCUGCUAAUUACCACACGUCAAGCAAUCAGAACACGAGAAUAACAACGAUAAAGUAUAAGAAAUCGAAAAAGAGAGCAAAGAAGAUCUUAUUCCGAAUUUGCGUAUGAGCGUUUACAACAAGGUAUAAGCCUGGGCUCGAGAGCUGUCGGCGAGAUUCCUAGUUCUAGCAACCCUAAGACGGCUAAACCUAAUUGAGUCGCAGCUCGAAAUAACAAAAACGGAAAAAUGCCUAAAUCGCUCUAAGUGCUAAGUUUGCUCUGAAAAGUCCUCUCUCCAUGCUCCUCGCCUAGGACUCCUUAUAUACUAGCUUCAAGGUCGGUUUACGCUUUUACUCUUCUGCCCUUAAGCCGUCAUAGCGUAAAAAUGGAGAUAUUCUAUUUUUCCCGAUCUUCACAAUUAUCUUCAAAACAUCCGUAUCUAUCCGCGGAAACUUGACAUUUAUCCUUCCUUGUGGACCAAGCGUAAACCGUGCUGUGGUUUAUGGGCUUUUAGUUAAGAAAUCGUAGGAUGGGCCUCGAGUCGUGUUUUAGGUCCCUUUGGGCCGUCUUCCGACUCGACACGUUUACUACGAUUCUUUUGACAAAGAACGAACUUUCCGCGGUUUCUAAUCCGCGAAGUUUGAUCGAUGAGUUAGAAUAGCGGAAAACAUGGACUGAGCUUGCUACGGUCUUCGGGAGAUAGCAUUUGAAGGUUUGACGAGAAUGCAUGGAUUGGUGUCGUAUCGAUGUUCGGAAGAGUUCGAUCGAUACACAGCGACCGAACUUUGGCUCGAGCCCGGUCGCUACGUAGCGACCGAGCUUGGCCAAGCUCGGUCGCUACGUAGCGACCGCACGAGACGAUCGCUCGGUCGCUACGUAGCGACCAAACUUUGGCUCGAGCUCGGUCGCUAUGUAGCGACUGAGUGGGUCGAACGUUCGGUCGCUAUGUAGCGGCCGAUAUCGGCCCGGACUUGGUUGCUACGUAGCGACCGGACGGCGUGUAUGCGCGGUAAUUAUGCAACGACCGAGCUUGGUUCGUUUGGUUUGAAUCUUCAAGGAUAUUUCUUCGUAAAAACUUCGUAUUGGUUAUAUUUUACAAAAGUUAUAUCUUUAUUUUUACUAUCUCUUUCGGAAAUACGAUCUCCGAGGAUUUUCGGGUGGUAAUUCCGUCGUGACCGUUUUUGACCCCAACAAGUAGAAACACUAAUCUAAAAUUGCUUCUCUGGCAAAAAAAGGAAAAACAGAGAGACAAUUAAGUUACAUUUGUGGUGAUGCAAACAUCAGUGGCUCCAAAGAGGUAGAUAAUUGGGGAAUCUUUUCUUCCUGUUUCUUGCAUGGAUGGUGUUGCGAAUGUCCCUGUCUAUGCACUUAAUAAUAGACUCCGGUGGAAUGUGGGUGCUGUUGAAGAGGACAUUGUUUCUCUGUUUCCACAGAUGAUAUAUCGUUGCGUGGACAACCAGACAACGGAGUGUUGCUGGGGCUUGAAGAGUAUCGGAUUUCAACCAUGAGAGCAGCUCCUGCCAGUUACAAAAUAACCUACCAGAAGGUCGUAGCCUUAGAAGUGCCCAUUUCCAGAUGACAACACUAUACUCACAGGUUAAGAGUAAGUGGUCUCUAUCUUCAGGGAAUUGGGAACAAAGACAACAGUGAGUAGGUAUGAGCAUUCCCCAAGAAGCCAGUCUAACCCUUGUGGGCAUCCUGUCAUAAUUUGCAAUCCACAUAUGUAAGGCUUGCUUUGGGACUGCUCCUUUGUACCAUAUCACUUUGACCCAGUCUUUUGUACUUUCCCUUGGUCUGAUUGCAUCCCAUGUGCUCGCUGAAGAGAAUGUCUGCAGCUUAUUCCCAUUAACUAGCCAGUGGUAGGAGUCCGGAUCGGAGGAGACUGAUGGAGGUGUGACCGUUGUCAAGUGGAUAUGUAGCUCUAGUGCACGGUCUGAUCUUGGGUUUGGGAGUCUCCAUCCAUUCACAUUGCAAGCCUUUGAGACUGUUUCUUGUCGGGGCACACAAAUGUCGCGAGGGCCAGUAUCUCCUAGGUACUUUAUGAGAGGACCGAAAGGAGACCAUGGAUCAAACCAGAAGCUUAUGGUUGUUCCAUCUCCCACAGAGGCUCGUAUAUAUCUCUCAGCCAGAUAUUUGAUCUUCAGUAGACACUUCCAGAUCCAAGAGUGAGAAGGUCUUUCCUCAGCUUCCCAGUAGCAGGUAGAUCCUAGAUACUUCCUUUUCAUCCAAGAAGCCCAUAGCGAUGAAGUCUGCGAAAAUAGAAGCCAUGUGUACCUUAAGUACAGAGUUUUAUUCCAUUCAUGGAAACUUCUAAGUCCGAGUCCCCCUUCUGACUUUGGCAAGCAUACCGUGGACCAUUUAACUUUCGCCUGAUAAGCACCCUCCACUGUCCCUGACCAGAGGAAUCUUGAGCAAAGGGAUUCAAUCUUACGUAUACAGCUCUUAGGUAAGACGAAAGUUGUGAUCCAAAAGAUGACAGUCACUGUGAUCACUGAUACUAUCAGCUGUAGCCUUCCUGCAUAAGACAAUUUUUUUACUGCCCAACCCACAAAUCUGCAUCGAAUUUUAUCCAACAGAGGCUCAUAUUCGGAAACUCUCAACUUCCUUGACAUAAGCGGCAAUCCUAAAUACCUCACAGGAAGGGAACCAGUAGUGAAACCAUAACUAGAUAUAGCUGCGGUUUCAACCAGGUUCAGGCCCGCUGUGAAGAGUUGUGUCUUGUUGAAGUUUGUAACUAAACCUGACCAAGAAGCAAAAUCAUCAAGAGUUUCGACAAUUCCAUGAAGUGAGGAGCUGCCACCGUCAAAGAAAACCAUCACGCCGUCCGCAAACAUUAGGUGAGAGAUGGCCAGGUCUUCUGUUUGCGGGUGAUACUUUAUGUAUCCAGAGUCAAAUCUUGCACGGAGUAAUUGUGAAAACACCUCCAUCGCCAAUACAAAUAGAUAAGGUGAAAGUGGAUCACCUUGUCUAAGACCACGAGAGCUUUGAAAAUAACCACUUGAGCUGCCAUUGAUAGAAACUGAGAAAGAGGGUGUGGAGAUACACUCAAUUAUCCAGUCUCUGAACUUUGUCGGUACUCCUAAGGCUUGAAGAGUGGCAAUGAUGAAGUCCCAUCUCAGUGAAUCAAAAGCUUUUCUAAGGUCGACUUUGAGCAUCCCACUCGGUUGGACAUUGUUGCUAUUGUAGCCGUGGAUAAUCUCUGUGGCAAGCAAUACAUUUUCACCCAACAUUCUACCCGGUAGGAAAGCAGACUGGUAAGGAGAAAUGACCUCCACCAAGAUUUUCUUUAACCUUCCUGCCAACAGUUUUGCAAUCACUUUAUAAAGUGUGUUCAGGCAAGAGAUAGGUCUAAAAUCAGUCAUUUUUGAGGCGUUUGGUAUCUUGGGUAUGAGGACUAAAGUAGCUGCAUUCCAUUGCUUUAGAAGCUUUCCUGAAGAGAAGAAUUCGGAGACAGCAGCAGUCACUUCCGGUCCAACAAUGGACCAGCAGGUAGAGAAGAAUUCUGAGGUGAAACCGUCAGCCCCACUGGUUUUGUUCUUAGGGAGAGAGAAGAAGGCUUCACGAAUUUCUUCAGAUGUGAAGUCCCUUGAGAGGCCUGAUUUCUGAGCUUCAUUGCAGCGAAACGGAAUGAGAAGGUCAAUGUCACUCUGCUCAAACAGUUGGUGUGGCACUUCGAGGUUGAGGAACUUCUUAAAGUAAUCUACAGAGUGAUCAGCAAUGUCUUUGGCUGAAUCAUAGCGAUUUCCUUCCUCAUCCAUCAAGUAAUGUAUAUGAUUGAUAGAUUUUCUGGUAUCUGUUAAUCUGUGGUAGUAUGCGGUAUUACUAUCACCCAAGUCCAGCGCUGUGAUUCUUGAUCUUUGCAAAAAAAAAGAUUCCUCAGCUUUAGCCAGGGUCGACCAUUUUCGGUGAGCUUGGUCCUCCUUCUCAGCAUUUCGAACAGAAGGGAAAUUCAUCAGUUGGCUCUGCAUACGAAGGAGUUGCGUAUGUGCCUCGAGCACUCUUUUUUCCAGAUUUGAGUAGUUAUCUCUACUGAAACUUUUGAUCUCAGGUUUAAGGAGUUUCAGCUUCUUUGAAACCCUUAGCAUCUCUGAUCCCGUGACAUUGAAUGUGAACCAAAGCUCUCUGACAACCAUCAAGAAAUUCUGAUUCUGCAGUAUAUAGUUGAAGAACUUGAAUGGUUUCUUACUUGCCUGACUUUCUAGCUGGAGCGAUACACCACAAGACGCAUGAUCCGAGAAGUCAGGUUCACCAAAAUAGGCAAAUGAGGUUGGGAAGCAGUCCAGCCAGGCAGAGUUGACGAGGACGCGAUCAAGUUUCUUGGCCACAGGGUUGGUCUUAGACUUAUUCUACCAAGUAAAAGUGCUACCUCUAAAUGUGAGGUCAGCUAGCUCAGAAUCAAGCAAGCAGUCCCUAAACUGACGUGUGCGCAGAUCGACUCUGGAGUCUAGAUAAUUGGGAAGAUAAUAUUUGGAGUCUUUUUUGGACGCAUAUCAUUGUGAUCAAAUCUUACAAUUUUAAUAUGUCAUAAAUAUACAGCAAAACAAUCCAGAAAUGUUAUCAAAAAGCGUGUUAUUUCAUUAGAACAGCUUAAGAGAGUUAACCAAAUUAACAAAAAGAAAAAAAAAACAGAACAUAAUCUGCGUUUCUGUUAGUCUCACAAGUCACAACGUAAAAACAACUUUCCCUCAAAAAACAAAAAAAAAUAAAAUAAAAAAAUCCUGAAACAGAGCUUCUCUUUUCGUUUGUUGAAAUUUUGUUUGUGGUUGCCGCGAUUGUUAGGCCCUGUAAAAAAAAAGCGUUCAUACGUUGGUCGGAGCCUUUUUGCAUGGCGGUUUGCUUUGGAGGGAGUACGGCAAAGAUAUCAAGGUCUGCAAAUUUAGACGUCGUUGCGAUAUUGGGUGCUUUCCGUGAGAUGAGAAACGGAGGUUAAUGGGGAGAUUGAGAACAGCUUUUCUUGCCGUCUCUCUCGUUUUUCUUGUUUGCGUUUCCGAGGAGAUUAUCUCUCGACGCGGCGCCAACCGCGGCGAGGCUCACGGUGGCGAUGAUGUGGUAAGUUCAUCCUCCUUGCUUCGUUUUCUCGUUUUAGAAACAAAUCAAGAACGCAUGGAGCAAUCUUUUUUUUUUGGCCAAAUACGUAUAUAUGAAGCAAUCUUCAUUUAGGUUUUUAUUUUGUGCAUAUUCAGACAACAUGUUUGUUAUUCCGACCACAAGUUUAUUAUUGACGAACGUGUUAUUUUUCUGAUAGGCAGAACAAACAUGGAUACAUUGUAGAAAAGAAUUGAAAGAUAAGAACAGAGAUUGCCUUAUCUAUAUCCCUCCUCGUGUAGCAGCAGCUAAUGAUACGUACCAGAAACUAUCCGUCUUAACCGGUUGGUUCAGCAACUGGUUUGGACCUCUCCUUGAUUCUACUACAAGCUAUCCAACAAGAAAGCUGAUCGGUAAGCAAAAGAGAAAGAAAAAGAAAAAGAGAAAGAAGUUUAGAGUAUCUGCUCCAAACUUUGCACUUGGUCCUGCACCAGGUUUUGCUCCAGGUCCUUCUCCCCGUUUCGCUCCAGGUCCUGCUCCAACAACUCCUCAGAGUUAUGACCUUGUUGCACCUUCAAGCUCUCCUUCAUAUUCGCCAGCUGAGGCGCCGGAUGAAUCAAGCUUUGGUGGUCCGACUAAGAAGAGAGCAAAGAGUAUUGUUGCUCCUAGUCAAAGUGUUCCAGGUCCUCCUCCUCCUCCACCACCGGAGAAGAAGAAUGAUAUCUUGAUGGAUCUUAUCAUCGCUGUUGCUUCAACCGCUGUGUUAACGUUUUUUCUAGUUGCAUUGCUCUUCUUAUGUUGCUUCAGACGCAACAACCGCAAAAAUGCGGUUGGUCCUAGAAAUGGACCAAGAGAUGAAGGACCACUUCUACAUUUAUCUGAUUUAUCAGCUGGUAAAUGAUGUUUUUUAUUAAAUCAAAACGGUUUCACGUUUUAAUCUUUCAAGAACUAUAACUAACUCUUGUUUUGCUUAUUUUUUUCUUUAGGAUCUAAUGAGAACUCUCCAAAGGUUGCAGCCACGAGUAGGAGAUUCUUCACUGCUACUUCUAAGAAGAGAUCGUUUCUGUCUAGAGUAUCUCUAAAGAGAAACCAUCAUGACUUCCCACCAGCUGAAGCGUCGUCAUCCUCUGGACUUCCUCUUCCUCCUGGAAGAUCAUCAGGAGCUCCUCCUCUUCCUCCUGUGGCUCCACCACCUCCACAGGCUCCACCACCACCUCCUCCUAAAUCUAAACCUCCUCCUCCUGCUCCUCCAAAACUUGUGCGUCCUCCACCUGCACCACCAAAACGUCAAGGACGUAGCUCCUCUGGAGAUGGUUCUGACGUUGAUUCGGAGACCGGAGCUCCGAAAACGAAACUAAAACCGUUUUUCUGGGAUAAAAUGGCUAACCCUGAUCAGAAAAUGGUUUGGCAUGAGAUCAGCGCCGGUUCAUUCCAGUUAAGACUUUAAUUAUAACUUUUAAAACCUUUGUUUCUAGAACUUUGCCUAACUCGCUUUAUGCUUUUUAGGUUCAACGAACAGGAGAUGGAGUCUCUUUUCGGUUACAAUGAUGUGAACAAAAACAAGAAUGGUCAAAGAGGAGAAUCAUCUAGAGACUCUCCUGUUCAAUAUAUACAAAUCAUUGAUCCAAGGAAAGCACAAAACUUAUCUAUUCUUCUCCGAGCUUUGAAUGUAACAAUAGAAGAAGUCGUUGAUGCCAUCAAAGAAGGUAACGAGCUCCCAGUGGAGCUUCUCCAAACAUUGUUGAAGAUGGCUCCAACUUCAGAGGAAGAACUCAAACUUAGACUAUACUCGGGAGAUCUUCAUCUACUUGGCCCUGCGGAGCGAUUCUUGAAAAUUCUUGUUGAUAUACCUUUUGCGUUUAAACGUAUAGAGUCGCUUAUAUUCAUGAUAUCGCUUCAAGAAGAAGUCUCUGGCAUCAAAGAAUCACUCGCAACUCUCGAAGUAAGUCCACAAUUACACAUGACUUGCCUACUAUGUAUUUUAAUUUGAGUAGUGUUUAAAUCUAAAUACAAUUCAAGGCAUUAUUACAUAGAUUUUAGAGUUCACCAACUUUAAAUUAUCUUACAAUUUUAAAAUUUGAUGGAUUGCAAAAUAUUAAUAAUUUAUUUUAAAUCAUUAAUUGAAUAGUAUUCUGUUUUUUUGUUUUUUGUUUUGUUUCAGGUGGCUUGCAAGAAACUUAAAAACAGUAGACUGUUCAUAAAACUACUAGAAGCAGUUCUCAAGACAGGAAACAGAAUGAAUGUCGGAACUUUCCGCGGUGACGCGCAAGCUUUCAAACUCGACACGCUCUUGAAACUCUCUGACGUCAAAGGAACUGAUGGCAAAACUACACUAUUACACUUUGUUGUCCUUGAGAUCAUUCGUUCUGAAGGCGUUCGUGCUCUUCGCCUCCAGAGAUCAAGCAAAAGCUUCUCCAGCGUUAAAACAGACGAUACCAACACAGACACAAGUCCACAGUCUGUUGAACGUUACCGAAGCACUGGACUUCAAGUUGUUUCGGGACUAACCACAGAGCUUGAAGAUGUCAAGAGAGCAGCAAUAAUAGACGCUGAUGGAUUAGCUUCAACACUGAUGAACCUAAGUGGCUCGUUGACCAAUGCGAGGGAGUUUCUGAAGACGAUGGACGAAGAGAGCGAUUUCGAGAAAGCUUUAACUGGGUUCAUAGAACGUGCAGAUGGUGAUAUCAAGUGGUUGAAGGAAGAAGAAGAGAGGAUCAUGGUGUUGGUGAAAAGCUCUGCUGAUUACUUCCAUGGCAAAUCUGCCAAGAACGAAGGGUUGCGUUUGUUUGCUAUAGUGCGUGACUUCUUGAUAAUGUUGGAGAAAGUUUGCAGAGAAGUUAAAGAAACAACGAUGAUGACAUCCAGCAAAAAUCAUUCGAGUAAGAAGGAAACAAAGAUGAUUCCGGAAAGUAAUCAACCGGAUAACAUUCGACGGCAUUUGUUUCCGGCCAUUGCUGAACGGAGAGCUGACAGUUCGGAUGAUUCAGACAGUGACUAGGAUGGAAUAAGCAAAGCAGUUCGUUAUGUUAGUUUUUGUAUUAUGUUGUAUCAUUUCAGUUUCAAGUAAAACACAAACAAAAAAAAGUAACUUACAAUUUGUAUUUAUGUAUAAUUCUGUUUUUGUUUGUGCCCAGCUUUAUAAAAAUAGAUAGAUAGAUGGUAGGAACAAGAACACGAGAGCUUUUGUUACUAAAAGAAGAGAUACAACCUAGUCAAAUGAUUCUCCUCUAUGAAAAUUAUGUGAGCCUAAUCUAACAAGAAUAACAAUGGUAUCCUAACCCAAAGUUAUUGUUAAAUUCUAAAAAUCACAUAUAUGGUAAAAAAGCUAUACAUUAGAAUGAGGGGAAAGCUUGAGAGACUCCUUGCAGUGAAUGAGUAAGAGACUAUUUAUAGUAACUGUGUUGCCUCCCCCUCGCUUUCCUAGAAAAGAGAAAGCUUCUGAAUAAUAGAGGUUUCCUUUCCUUUUUUACCUAACUAUCCCAUGUCGCUUGAAAGACAUGCCUUCUGUUUUUGAGCCACUGCAAUAAUUCUCUAUCUAGUGACGAGUUGUUGACUACAGCAUCGAACAUCGGGCUUCCUAAUACUCCCAAGGUGCUUUUGAACAUCCAUAUUUUGUCCUUUGCCCAUGGCUUUUGAGGUUGCUUUGACUGUACAAAAAUAAGAUAAAAAUUUUAAAAGAUCACUAUCAUGGACAAUGGUGACAAAUGAAUAGCAUUUCGGAAGUGGGUCAAGUAUGAAGAGAUUACCAUCUGUGAAACCAUUGUUUUCACCGUCUUUGGGCCAUAAACACGAUGCUUUGAUGGCUUAUGAGCCUUUGCGUAGAAGGAAGCAACUUCGGGUAAAGAGAGGCAACCUCUGGUUGCUUUCACCAAUGUAAGAUCAGGAUCAGUAUUUGUCUGUUCAUACCAGUAAAUCAGCUGGCCGAGACAAUAGUUCUCGCCAUAUGUUUUCCGGUACUCCUUUAUACCCUCGCCUAACUUGUCCGCAUAUUUGGCCCCCAAAUCUAACGGGCUAAUUUGUACAGGAGAAGACAUAAAUGACUUGUAUUCCUGCCGACCAUAUCAAGACCCAUCUGUCAGUAGAAGUUUAACAAGACUUUGUCUUCUUUUAUCAUCCAAAUCAUACGAAAUAACUUACCCGAACUUUGAAAAAGCACUUUGUAUAGGCAUAUAUGUGAAUCAAAUCAGCUGCAGCAUCAUUCCGACACUUGUAUGUACAAGGUAGAUCUCGGACCUCAUCUCUCAACCUUCAUGGAAGAAAAUAUUCUUUGAUGUAAGUGUACAGUUUCCUAAAAGUACAAUGUUUCAUGCAUAUUGAUGCACUAACCAAAGUAAUGAUCUUUGAAGAUCCUUAAGGACGUCUGCAGAUCCAGAUGGAUCAUGGGCACGAAUCUUGGAUCUGAGUUCAUCAACAAUGCCCUCUUCCACGUGUGGCGAAAGGCACUGAAGGAUCUCCUCAACUAAGGAGCCAUCCCCGUUCCACAAAAAAGAGACUGUUUCUUCAGGAGUAAGCUUCUCCAGCGGAGGAGGAGCGUUCUUUGGAUCCCCAAACACACGUCUCAUAACAUAUCUUACCUGUGUUAUAACACUAAUUAGAGAAACUUCGAUUGGGAAAAAAUAUUUUACAAGCAAUUGCACAAAAAAUUUGAAACGCAACGCAGAUAACACGAUGUUUGGUUAUAUGAUAUGAAGAGAGAUUGCAGUCACCUUGUCAAGUGUGACAGCCAAAUUCUGAAGCCUCUGGUUGUAGACACCCUCAGCCUGUAUCAUCAAAGUUACAGAUAUAAUAAAGCAUAUAAAAGCUGGAGAAAAAAAUCAAAACCCAGCACAGAGUUCCAAAGCACAAAAGACAUGAACUAUUGAAAGAACCCGCAGAAAGGUAAAAAGGAAUGAUGUUCUGACCUGAACCUCAGCAUCACUUUUCUCAACAUCAAGGUGUAUGUCUGAAAAAUAUUUUCUCUUUUCUUCCAUAUUAUGCUUAAGAAUUUCCUCUGGAAGCUUAGUUCUCUCGAAAUUGAUGAACCGCACCUUUAUGCAGAAGAAACUUUCUGUCAGAAGCUGCACUCCCAUCAAUAGUGCUGCUAUAAACUAACAUAAAAUGAUUCAAGACUAACCAGAUGAGCAGAAUACGCAAUCACCCAAUCUGGCAGCCCACCAAGCAUACAACUUCCCAGUCCAGCUCUUCCCAACUCAAGAUAAUCUUCUUCUGAAACUGAAUUCAGUAUACAAGCUUCUAGCAUCAGUCUAUGUCGAUCCAGCAGACCAUGCCAUUCCUUCAACACCUGUUAUAUACAUGGUUCAGAAAAUUAUAUAGACAAUCAAAGGACAAAAGAAAUGCUUUUUAAACUUCGGUACAAAGACACUAAUUACUCAUUAGUGAACAAGCACACCAACCUCUGUCAUUAACCUUGCGUAUCUUAAUACCAGUUAAUAAUCAUAUAUAUGUUAACAUCACAAUUACCUUCUGAAAUGCACCUUCACCAGUGAGAUUCAAGUAGCUGCCUCGGCAUACUUGGCUACCACACAAGCAGACAGAAGCUUCAUAUUCUUCCUUACUCUGUUGCAGACAUAAAUAUCAUUCUUUUAACAGUAGAAUGGGAACAUAAAGAUUAAGAAGAGAGAGGGAAGAACAGACCUCAGUUACAGAAUUAUAAUCAAAAGUUAUCUCCUCGCCGUAUUCAAUCGGACGUACUGAAUAGAUGCCAAUCUGGUAGUGUCCAUCCACCGCAGUAACCCUGGAAGCACCAGUUGGCAAAGACGGAAAAUGAGUAACCCGUUUAAACUUGUUAUUAGGUAGGAAGACACUCAAGUAUCAAGAGUUCUCCCCUCCAUUUUUUAUUUUUUAAAGCAUGGACGCAUAGGUAAAAGGACGAGUAUUGCCUAAUAUGCCUACGAGUAGAGCAGAUAUCAUAAGCAAAUGUUGGUAAGUGUAUCCACAAAAUUUUAUAUCUAAGAAAUUUAUCUGUGUAUGUAUUGAUCUGAGCUUACUUAAGCAGGCUAGUUUAUGCAUGCAACAUGAAUGAAACUAAAUUAUUACAAUGGUCACGUGGUUCUACUCUCUAAACAAAAUUCUGGAAAAUUGGAUGAUUGCGGAAUUUAACUUACUUAGCUUCACAGUUAGGUCGGCAAGAAUGACAAAUUCGACUCGCAUAAUUAGCCUUGUGCAUGGCAUCAACAACAACUAAAUCAUAUCCAUCAGCGUCACCCUGCCAGUAACAUAACAACAUAAAAAAUAAGAAAAUGGUCUAAUAUAAUAUAUACAAGCCCAAUCAUCAUAUUUUCUUCAUACCUUCGGUCUCUCAAGAUAGAUAUUGUAAAACUCUGGUGCAGGAUCAGUUUUGUUUUCCUGCAAGGAACGAAUUCCAUCUUGCUUCUCAAACCACUUCCAAACAGGAUAAACCUACAAUAUCCAAAACAUACGUUCAGAGCUCCCUUCAGAGAAUGUUUCAUAUCCAAGAACAGCACGCCCAGUGAAUUUCAGAAAUUGUGCAGCUGACUAACUACCAAACAUAAAACUGCAAAGCUGCAAACCCACCUCUCCAAGAAAUUCAACAACAAAAUCGUCUUCCACAAAACCACCUUGUUUGUUGCAAACAACACCGAGGCCCUACAAAGGCAAAAAAGUAGCAACAAGAUAGAUUAACAAAAACAGUCCUAAAUAAAUUGAUGGAUUUCUAUGAAAGAAUGACAGAGCUCUAUACCUUCCGAUAAGACACAUAAUUAUCACCAGAACGACUUUCUAUAGCCUUUAAGACGCCUUGACACAUUUUCAUUGUUUGUAUAUCACACUCUUCACGAGCAUUCUCUUUGAGCUCUUCAAUCACAGGUCUUAAAGGGAAUACCAUGGGGGUGUUUCCAGAUCCAGUGAGAAACCUGACUUUCCUGUUCAGGGCACGUAAGACUACAUCUUCUAUAAAUGAAUGUUUAUCCUGCAGUGACCAGUCCAAUUCUCCGGGCAUUGAAUCAAGUAAGAGGUUAUGGGUGUAAGGAUCGAUUCCAUAAACCUCUUGCUCUAAAACCUCGUUGCCAAGAAGCUUUCUUGGUUUAUACUCCUUGACUUCAGGAAGCUCCAUAUCUAACUCUUCAAUGCCAUUUCGUUGUGCAUUCAGCUUCUCAUCAUAGUCCUCUGGCAAAGAAACCCGCAUCUUUCGUUGUACCUCCUCCUCGUCAGCGACAAUCGUGUACUCUUCAAUCAGUUCAUAUUUCCUUGUGACUGGUGGCACAAGACUAGCUUUGGUCAUACGUGCACCCCAUUCACGCUCUUCGGUCACAGAAUCAAAGGAUUCGUCUGCUGUAAAAUAUUUUUCAACACGUGAGUCCUGUGAUCGACCUUCUGAACGGAUAUCCGAUUCGCUUUCUGAAGCUGAGCUGUAAUUGUCAUUGUCAGAUAGCGCGGAAGAUGUUUCACUUCCCGAACCAAAUGAUUUACGAUUCAGUUUAGACAAACGCCUUUUGAUUUCGCGGUCAGAUGCAUAUUCUCCGUAGUCCAGCGCACCAUUUACACCAAAUGUGUCACUCGUCCUGCUCAUGUACUUCUUUUCAGUUACAGAUUUGCUCAACUUCUUGUUGUACUUAGAGGCUGAUGACAACCCUGAGCCAUCUUGCCACGACUUCAUCAAUUCAUCUCUUCUAUAUGAAGAAGUAGCCAUAGAGACCUCUUCUAAACGUGUGGCAAGUUGGAUAAACAGUAUGAUGAUUCGGUUCAUCUCUUUGGAGUCUCCCCGAUUCCUCUCUCUGGAUAUAAGAUAGAAUCAGAAGAAAUUUUACAAAACUAGUAUUAAGGAAAGCAAUAAAAACAGCUCCUACCUUUACUUAAGAACUAGGAGUCUAGGAAUAAAUGUCAAAAACAAGUAAUCCUACAUCCUAACAAACUGAGGGCCAAAAACCAAGCACAUGGGAAGAAAGCGGUUAUUGACUUGAGAAAUUAUAACCUAUAAUCCAGAAAGGACAUCAGCAGUCGUUCAACAUAUUGUUUGGCAAGUAGAAUCUUCAUAGUUACUUAUUUAUAAUUUGCAAGUCAAUAUUUGAAGUAUUAUUGGCAUAAUCAUGUACUAAAGAAGCUACCCAAAGAAAGAGGAAGGGAGCCUUACUUAAUUGCUUCCCUGCACAUCCGGCUGAUAUCCUCCUUGACAGAUUUCAAACCAUGACUAACGUAGUAACCGUUUUUCAUUUUUUCCUCUAUAUGAGCAACCUAGUAACCAAAGACACAUUAGGAUUAACUUUAACAAAUGGUAAAGAAAUAAGAGCAGACAUAAUAUACAGCAUACACGAAUACCAGAAAGCACCUUUAAAUCAAAGAAGUCAAAAGUAUUCUGCUUCAUGAUGCCCCUAAGGCUUGAAGAAAGGAAUUCCUCCACUCUCUUAUACCCGUGUUCUGACUUCUUAAUCGCCCAUCGCCUGAUACGAGCAUCCCUGGAUAGAAUUGCCGAUGAUUUCCGUGCAUCAUACAAUUUUGAGCGUUUGUAUAAGCUUCUUCGGAAUAACUGAUUGGCUGAGUCUCGCUUUUCCACUCGAUCAAAGUAAUCCUUAAGGUUACCAAAAUCAUCUGUAUCUCCUCCUAAUUCCAUAGACUUAUUAACAUUAGUCUGUUUCAAACUCCUUGACCUGGAAUGCAAGUCACCUGGUCCAGGAUGCUGGCAUUUGAGCCAACUUACUUUUCUAUAUUUCAAAGUCAAAUUUCCAAACUGGGAGCAGCCUGUGAUGUCUAUAGAAGAUAUAUGGGGAAAUAAACGAAGAAUUUCCUCAAGCAUGCUGGAAGUCACGUUUGUACAACCAACCAGAAUAAUAGAAUCAAUCUUCUCCGUGUUGUAAGUGUUCUGCAAGAGAAUGUCAUAUCAGAUCAAUUAAAAUACUAAAUUUUCUAAAAUACUGUAAACGAAAAGUACAGAGUGCUCACCAUGAUACUCCAGAGCCUAGAAUCUGUGCAGUUGGGACCCAAAGAAGAUAAGUCAACUUGUCUUGAAAUAUCCUUGUAUGAACUAACAAUGGCCUUCCAGUGUCUACAAGUCAUGGACGCAAAUGCAAGUGAUUUUACAUCAUAUCUCAGCAAAUGAAACACCCGUGCUAACACGUGACCAUCUAACAAAUCCCAGUACAUCCCCACGCUGCCAGAAGAUCCACUUCCUUCAACAUGGAAAGUAGCGUCCCCACAUAAAUCCUCAAAUGUCGACUCAUCCUUCUGAAAUAUUUGUGCAUCUUUCACUUCAGAAUGGUCUCCACUUUCACCAGCCAUCAAUCGAACUCUUUUCGUAUAUGAUGAUGAAUCAAAUUCUGAGGUUUAUGAACCAAAAACAAAAGAGAGAAGAGAACAAAUGUUUAAACAUACGAAAGCAGGAACUGCACAGUGUUAUAACCAGAAGAGAAUGAAGAAACAAAGGAAAUAGCCACCCAAGUUCAGAAACCGAUAAUAACUUGAAGAAAAGCAUGAGCUAAUAAGACGGAUGGGGUGGCAUUUAAGUUCUGGUAGUUAUGCAUACCUGAAUAUGGGUGCAUGUACUUGCCAGUCUCUUUCUUUGGCUGUCUUGCAUGAAUCCAAGAGUCUAAGACAUCGUUUAUGGCAGCAGAAAAUUCCCGAGUCUUGUAUGUUUUCAUAACCAAUUGAUGGAGUUUCCCACGGAAAUAACCAAGAAACUGAGGAUGCAUAGCAUGGAACGAGCUUAGACUUGUGUCCAUUUCAGAAUGCUUGAAAUCCUGCGACUCUGAGACAUCAAGGCUUUGACAAUCUGAAGGCAGAACUGGGGCUUUCCCCUUGCCACUGAUUUCAGAAGUUUUUGUGAUAGAAGUAACAGGUACCCAAAUUUUGUCAGAUUUCCUGAAGACACUAGUGUGGCGCUUUAUUAAACCUUUAGCAACCAAUAUCUGGAGCUCCGAAAAUGGCAAAGGUCCUUGUUCUUGCCCAGAACCAUCCAUGUAGAACCAAUCACCCAAAUGCAAUUGCAAAUCAUCGACUGUAAACAGACGAUCCCCAGGGGUGCUAACAGAUGCGUCAGUUCUCCAAAAUCCCUGCAUAUCUUGACUACCGCAAGCUGAUGACUGAGAAAUACUUUCGACGGAUUCCCUCUUGGAAUCACUAGAUGCAGGGGAUGGACGAGCAUGCCUUGAAGAGAACUUUUCCCCACCACGAACUUUUACAAGGGGAUCAGGAACUGAUGGAACUUGAUCAUUAACGACUAAUGAGUUAAGCCUAACUACAGACAGCACACUAGCUUUUACUCCCCUCGCCUGAUUUCUCUCAUCUACACCAGAAAAAGCCCACAGGGGAAGUUCCAGCCUAGAGCGGCUGCGAGGAUUAUACAAAUCAUCCUUGUGAUGCCAGCGAGGAUCCUCAUACCCAGACUUCUGCAUCAGGCAUAAUGGGAAACCAUCAUUCAGAACCAUUUUCUUUUUGUAAUCUCUAUCUUGAAAAGCUUCAUCGUGUCUUAUCCAGUCCCCGCCUGUGCAAGACCAACGACCUGAAAACCAGCUGCCUAUCUCAUCGCUCUCAGAACAAUCAACAUUUUCUGACUUCGAUUCUUCGAUGGCCAUUGCCUUGGGCUCUGAACGUUCCCACGACUCCUCAUUUAAUAGCAACUGAUUUACCACUUGAUAGUAGCACCAGAUGAUAUCUGCAAAUGCCAGAGUAGAACUUCUAAAUAGUGUCAUGCAAAACAUGUGGAUAAAUUUUUAAAAAAAAAAACAUGUGAAUAAACAAGAAGCUAUGAUUACUAAAAGUUGAUGUCGUCUAAAUGAAUAUCCAUGUUCAUGCACAAACCAUCAUAUGGCAGUAGACGGCCAUUACGUCUUUAACACACAUCAACACUUCCAAAUACUACAAACGAACUAAUAUAAAUAUAGAUGACUAUAUAAUAUCUUAAGUGAAUAUAAACGCUUGUAUCGUUACGUUUUCUGAUAGUAGAAGUAGGCCAAGUUAGGAAUAUAACUUGCCUGAAAGGAGGAGAAGCAAAUAGAGAAAAAAAUCAUAUCAUGCUAUAGAAAAAGUGCAAGUGGUGCCAACGAAACAUACCUUCAGAACUCACAAACCUUCUCGUCUCUUCAAGCUCAACUUUAAUCUGCACAGCUUCUGCAAAGCGAUAAAAAUAAGCCUAUCUUAGGUAUGGCAUAGAAGCCCCAUGGUGCAAUAAACUAAAUGUAUUAAGAAAAAUGCUUCAGAUAUUUGCUAGCAUUUUUGGCUGAAAACAUCAAAUUUCUGGCCGGAAAGAUAAUAUUUUACAUCUACUACAGUACCUCCAAGUGUUUCAAGUUCCCUGCCAGGGAUGAUAGUAUAGCCAUCCAAGAGACUCGCGAUCCUGUUAUCAAACUGGAAAUCUUCAUGAUGGCCCACUACAGUAUCAUUACUAUCUGGUAUGGACAAUGAUUCAGGCAAGGAAUCUUCAGCUCCUUGCUCCAUAUGAACUGCUUUGACAGCAUCUGCAAUAUCUUCUAAUAAAUUACCAGGCGCUUCAGGAGGAUUCACGAGCCGUGUCACAGCAUCUGACACGAUUGAUGGAAUAUUUAUGUUGACCACAGGAGAUGUUGCAUUUUCAAUAGUGACCCACCUAUUAUUAUCUGAAUGUUUAAUCAUAUGGUCAGAGAAAAGAAUGCCUUGCUCCACAAGAGCUUUAAGCUCGGAUAACUUUGCAGGCCCAUGUUCAGUGCCAUAGUAAUCAAGAUAAAACCACUCCCCCAAGGAUGAAUCUGCCGCCAUAGGCUCCUCGUGAGGUGGUGUAUCACAAAUGUCCAUAUCUACCUCCAUCGAUGGCAACUCUUCGGUAGUUGCUUCACCAACUAGCACAGACUCUUUUCCCUUUGCACACGCACUUGGAAUCUUGGAAGAAUCACAUACAGAAUUUUUCUCAGCCACCGGAUUAUUGUUAUUCAAAAUGUUUUUACCUUGCAAUUCUUUUCUUGAUGGAGACGACUCUUUUCCAUUAGAAUCCCUAUGCCUUUGCUUAUUCUCAAGCUCCAUACCAGUCUGAGAAUCCCUCCUCUCCCUAACUCCACUCUUUCUGCUUAUAUCUCUAUGGCCAUUACGUCUGGUACGAUCGCUCUGGGGAUCUUCCAUAUAUUUAGAAGUUCCGUCGCGGCGAUCACCGGACCAUUCAGAGUAACUUGGACUUCUUCUAUAAUCAUGGUGAUGGCUGCGGUCAUGUGGAGACCUUUUACGAGCAUGUGAAGGCUUCUCAAAGAUAUAUGGCGAUCUCUCCCGGGCAUAUGGCGACCUUUCCCGAUUGUGGGAACUUCUAUCCCUGUGGCCAUGGUACCUAGACCGGUCAUGUGGGGACAGAUCAGAUCGUGCAGGGCUGUGUCCAUGUCUGUCUGAAACAGCCCUGGCAGGGAAAUAUGAGUCUUGAUGCUUUUUAGGAUACUUUUCCAGAGAUGAGUGUUUUGAUGAAUAGGAAUCUCUGUAGUCUCUCUCAACAGAGUUCCGUGAAUAGUGGUCUGGGUGAAGAGAGCGGGAACAAUCAUCAGAAAGUUUUCUAUAUUUGGAGCUCCCAUAGUCCCCAUUAUCCGCAUAAAGAUGUUUGCGCUCAAAACUAUCCGGUUCAGCUCCAUGUCGCUUCAGUUUGUUCACAGUAGAAGAGUACUCUUUCCCAAGAUUAUUGGGAUCGUUGUAUUCGUUCUUAUGUAAGCUUUCCUCUAUUACAAUUUUAGAACUGACUCUCGUAGCUCUGUCAUUCCCACUUCUGAACUCUCUCCGGCGAUAGGUAUCCUCAUUCAAAAACCUCCCGCCGGGCGGGGUGCGUUCAUGUUCAUAGUCAUAAUCAUAUUUCCACGUUUUCUCUCUGUCAACUCCAUUCCUACGAGAUCUGUUGUAAGUAUGAUCAUCCUUUACCGUAUCCAUCUUAUGCCAUCUGUCUGGAAUGAACUCCCCCUUCUCAAUUUCAUUACCGGGAUCUCUCCAUGAUCUGAUUUCUCUCUCUUCUUUCCUGUACUUAUCUGCGGGUAAAUCCCUUCUCUCCACAUAAGAUUUAUCAUAUUGCAGGUUACUGCAAUCCCCAGAAAUCUCCCCUUUUUCAAUCUCAUUAUUCCGCAGUGACUUCACUGGAGAAAUCUCACCGGUCUCCAAAUCCCCAUGAGAAUUUAAUGUACCUAAUUCACCCUCUUCCACUUCAUCCUUAAACCCAGAAUCUCCACCGUUUUCUUCUUUAUUGCUACUUUCUCCUCCUUUUCCUUGCAAAAGUUCACUCUUUUUAUCCUGCUCUUUCUUCAGGACCUGUGAUUCUCCAGAAAGUUGCACUACCUGAUCUUUCGGCUGCUCUUCUGCUUGUUUCUGAGGCUGCUUGGGCUUCCUCCUGACAACUUUACGAAUAACCUUAACAAUUUUCUUCUUCUUAGGUGGCUGAGACGCUGAGGGUUUAGCUGGCUGGGACUCCGGAAGCUUAUCACUAGUUGAGAUUGAAGUGUGACCAUUCUCGGGAACCUUGGUAUCAAUGUUGCCUCCACAAAGCGUCUUCUCUGGAAGCUUGUCCAUGAUAUUCAGUAGAGGCAUGCAUGUGGCGACACCCCCAUCGCUCAUGGAAACAAAGCUUUUCUCAAGUCCCGGGGAUAUCAAUACUCAUGCUUCAGAACAUCCACCGCCAAAUUCAAGAACCUGUACACACCCAAGAAGCAAUCAGUGGCGAAAACUGAAUGUAGGGUUCUGCCCAGAGCGAGAAUCUGGAAACCCUACGGAGCCAAAUUGAUGAAAUUAGAGGAGACGAUGAGACGGGAAGACAGCGAAUUGAAGCGGGGAUUAUACCGGGGAGGGUAAGGAAACGUAGCGAAGGGGAUCAAAAAAACCCUAGAAUAGAGCUGGGAGGAAGACGAAGGAACGUGAGAAGGAUGAGAAAUUUCUGGAGAAUAAGAGAUCGAGGUCAAAGAAGACGAAUCGAGAAGGAAACCCUAGAAAGCUCUCGCUAAAUCUUAAUCUGGUUGUUCCCGUUUCGCCGGAAAAUCACCGUUGCGGCGUGUGUUCUUUCUCUCUCUGCGACCUGCGCUUCUCUUCUGAAUCGUUGUGUUCUCUCUCUCUCUCUCUCUCCGUUAUGUUUUCCUGAAAGAAGAAGCCGUCGUGUUAAUAUUUUAUUUUCUGUGUAUUUAUUUAUUUAUUUAUUUUUAUUUUUUAUAUCACCGUUUUCACCUUGACUAAUUUAGUUAUGAAAUUGCUAAUAGUACGAUUUAAUUUAUUGGUCAAAAGUAUAUUAGUAUGCAAUGGUAAAAAUGGUAAUUAAGAAUAGCUGUGAAUUGUAUUUGUAAAAAAUAGGUCCAAACACAUUUUGAAUGAUGUUUUCAUUGUAGUACAACGAGUGAAGUUUUCGUUAAUUUUGUUCUUAUAUAAAUAUUUGUUUUGAAAAAUAAUAAUUUCAUUAUAUGAACUUAACUUAUUAUUGAAUAUAUUAUAUUAUUAUAUAAUGUGCAAUAAGUUAAUAAUCUACUAAAAUAUUAAAUAUAUUUUUUCAACUGUAUGGUUGAUAAAAUCACAAGUUAUUUUCUCAUUCUAAUUCCUUUUAAUACAUUUCUCAAAAUGUUUUACUUAUCAUAUUUCUUCCUCAUAUUUUUUUCUAGUUUUCUUUCAUUGGGUUUUAUAGAAAAAUUCAACAGUAAAAAAUAGAAAAUAAUAUUAAAAUGAUAAUUAAAAGACAAAAUAAUGAAAAUACUUUGAAUAGUAACACUUAUUAAAACACUUCUCAAGAGUUUUUAUCUUUGUCAUUUUUUUUUUGUCACUAAUAUCUUUGUCAUUUAAAUAUGACAAAACAUGUGACUUUUUAGUAUAUUUGUAUAGUAGGCAUGUGAUUUUAUUAGCUUUUGCAUAUUUUAUAUGUGUUAAAAAAAAAAAUUUUUGAUCCAACAUAUUUUUACUGAAAACGAAAAUAUUUUCUUUUUUUCUAAACUGAGAUAAUUAUUUCUAUACUCAUCUUGUUCAUAAAAUUAUUAGUUUAAAACUAAUCUCUUUUUCUUAUUAACUUGAAAAAUAAAAUGAUAAUAUCAGUAACUGAUGAAAAUAAAAUUCCACAUAAUUUAUUUAACAAAGCUAAAAUAAUAUUUAAUGAGAAGCUUUCUGCAAUUAGUAACAAUAAUUUAUUCUGAUCAAAUCUACUAUAUUUAUAUGUCCUUUUAGCAUUCAAAAUUGGAUAAAAAUAUCAGAUCUACCAAAAUUUUAUAUCUUUACAUAUAUCACACUCUCGGGUCCGGAUCUGAAAAUAACAAUCAUACCAAAAACAAAAAUUGUGAAAAUGUUUACAUAUCAAAUUACUUGUUCAUACAUUAUUUACACGUUUUUACAGUUAAUUAACUUUUUCACAUGCGACAAAAUGGCAUAUUGUCAUUUACUCGUAAGACUAGCCCAAAAGUAAGGCGGCCACUUCCAACAUUUUUAGCAAUGAAAAUCCAUUUGGCGCUCAAACCAAACGCUAUGAGCGGUAAGAUUCUCACCGUUAAUAAACGGACAUCUUGACCCAAGACUUUUUUAUUAAACAACGUGGUGCGAAGCUUUGAAGAGAUUCUGAUUUGAUGAGCCAUUAAACACUUGGAACAACCCGUUACUUAUAAUGUGGGCUUUGUAAUGGGGGUCCAUUGGUGAUUGAUUACUCCUACAUUCUCUUAUUGAAGAACUUCUAAAACUUUAUUCCAAAAGCAGAGCAAAAUAAAAGCUUUGACAAAAAGUAACGACCACUCUAGGCUUUCUUAUCACAUCACAAAUAAAAAAUGCAUUUUAUCAUGAUGAAACUGAUUCACGGGAGAAAAAACAACACAAGAAUGCAAAAAUAAAAAGGUCCAGAUUCUAUUCAUGACAGCAUAUAAAUAAACAGAUGGCAUAAAGGUCGUCAAUAUCAUGACAUAACAAGAGUAUUAAUUGAUUCUGAGAUGAUAAUCAUGAUAUCUUCAAAUCCAAGGGAAAAGAAACCAAAUGGUGAACUACAACACUUUGUGGGCAGUUUUCGAGCUUAGGAAGUUUCCCCAGCUCGUUGUGUCACGCCAUUCACUAAAAGCUUAGUAAAGGACUCUGGCGGGUGGACUUGUACUCUCAUUCCCUGAUGUAGUCAGAAAUACCUCAAGCUCUAGCUUCUCAAAUGUCAAGCUUGUACUGUCCAUGGUCUAUACAUGUUUUGUUGUGUUAUUAACAUCUAAUUUUUUUUUUGAAUUAUAAAGAAGUAUCCUGCCUUCGGAAACUAGCUAAAGCCGCAUGUUAACAGUCUACGUUUUCGGCCCACGUGUCGGUCUCAUGUCCAUAGUGAUACCAAAAUUUUAAUUUUCCAAUGGCCUGGACUCGAACCCUAGUGGUUUCACUGUAUUGGGUUUCGCCCUCAGGUUAAUCUAGGCCCGGGCAUUUUACCCGGACCCGAAGACCCGACCCGAAACCGAUCCGAAAAAAUCCGGUCCGGGUAGGAACCGACCCGAUCAAAUUACCCUAUCGGGUCUUGUUGCAGAGGACCCGCGGGUCUUGGACCCGAUCCGACCCAAACGCGAAACCCGAUGGGUACCCGAAUUAAUAAUGUAAAUUAAAUAAAAUGCAUCAAGGGAGAAUCGAAGACGGGUUAUUUGUCAAGAGAACAUGGGGGUCAACCACUAGGAGACAACAAAUUGUUAUUGUAUCUCGCAUAGUUUAGUAUAUAUACACAUUUUAAUAUAAUAAAAACACAAAUUUUGAAUAAAAUUUUGAAUAUUUUAGGAUAUAUAAAUAUUUUCAGAUAUUUUUUUGUAUUUUUAGGUCUUUUUUAGAUCAAACCCGAAUCGAACCCGACCCGAAACCGAACCGUAUCCGAACCGAUAAAUUCUAAUUACCCGAAUGGGUCUAACUAUCUAAGACCCGACCCGACCCGGACCCGGCACGAUCCGAACCGAUCCGGAACCGAGAAUUUGAAAUUACCCUAUCGGAUCCUAAACUCUUAGACCCGAAAGACCCGGACCCGAAAGGACCCGAUCCGAACCCGACCCGGCGACCCGAAUGCCCAGGCCUAGGUUAAUCACCAUUGAACCACAUGCCCCUGUUUAUUAACGUCUAAUUAUGUCUAUUGUCCACUGUUUUCAUGGAUGUCUAAAACACCAUGUUCAAAAAAUAAAAAUAACACUUUUAAUAUAAUAUAAAACAAUAAAAAUAAGACACUUUUUAAUGUGGUGAUCAACAUAUACAUAAACGUUUCGAUCUUUUCUUAGGAGACCCGAGACCGUAAGGUAAGUAAGUAGAAACGUCGAUGGCUGUAUAUAUAUGUUGAUCACCACAUUCUCUGCGACACGAACACUUAGUAACUUGUACGUCUGGAAUCUUAAAAGAAGCCCAAAGGACCAUAAUGUUUUUGUUGUUUUCUACAUAUGAAUGAUUAUAUGAAUGCACUUAUGUAUCAAUAUAUAUGCCUGUUUGACUGACGUAGUAUGGGUGAAGGACACAACACAUGUACACAUUGAGUAAUGACCAUUGCGUAGUGUUUGUCCUUUUAACAAAAUUUAGAUACUUUUUCGCAAGAGGAGCGUAAGGCAGAAUGAAAUGAGAGAAAUAUUUUAUUAAUCAAAUUAAGAAUAUUUUUUAAUAGCAAUAUUAUCAUAUUCAUUGACAAAAAAAUAUUAUAAUAUUUAAGACAACCUUACUUUAUAUAUCUCCCUAAUAUUUACACCACACAAAAAUAAAAUCUAACUCAAACCCAACAGACGGUCGAGUCCUCAAUGCAAGAGUUAUCGAGUAUAGUUUGGGAACAAACAAUACUUAGAUUCACCUCUAUGGUACUAUCAAUUUUCACCUCACCAUUGAUCACCAAUCAAAGUGCUAUAUACAAAUAAUAAAAAAUAUUAAUUUUUCCAAAAAAGUAAAAUAGCUUCGUUAACAUUAACACCAUCAGCAAAACAUUUAACUCUAAACCUUAAAUACUAAAUUUAAAAUAUAAACCCUAAACCUAAAACCUAAGCCUUAUAAACCCUAAACUUUAACGAAAUGAGUUAGCGCCGCCGACGUUAGAGUUUAGGUUUACAGUUUAGAAUUCAGUGUUUAGAAUUUUGUUAACGAUCGACGUUAAUGUCAGCAUUUUUUUAAUUAAUUCUACAUGGUACUUUGAUUGGUGAUAAGAGAUGAGAUAAAUUUGACAGUUUAUUACAAGGGUGAACCCAACCCUAACCAUCAGUUUCGAGAAAUUUUUCCAUUUUGAUUUCAGACGAAGUUAUAUUUUCCCUUAACAAACGUGUGUGUGUGUGUGUGUUUUUGUUGGAAAAAUAAAAAAGUAGCAUCUAAUCUAUUAAUUUAGGGUCCUAAUUUUUAUCUACUAUUUAAAAGUCUUAGCAUGACCAUUUGAUUAAUUAUUUAAUAUGACAUAAUAAUUAUUCCUAGUCUAACAAAUCUGUUGAAAAAAUAUAUAUUUAAAUUUUAUUUUUAAUUAUAACAAAUUUGAUGAGAAAAUAUCUACCCAAAUCUUAUUAAAAGUUUUAAGUAUUUUUUAAAAUCAUACAAUAAUUAAUUUUGUAAUUAGUAAUAUAAUAUGAUUAUACAUUACUAUUAAUUAUUUUUUUAUUAUAAAACAAAAAAAUAAAAUUAUUUCCUAUUUUUAUAAAUUUUAUAAUGUAUUAUAUAAAAUAGAAGUACUAUAUGAAUAAAUAAAUAAAACUAUAUAAAAUUGGUAAAUUAAACUAUUUUAUUUUAAAAUUCUUUCAUUUAAAUAAAUAAAAUAAACUAUCAUUUCUUUCAUUUAAAUAAAUAAAAUAAACUAUUAUUCACCGUUAAAAAGGGUUAAAAUUCAUAAAGUAUGUAUAUUUUAUACAAAGAAUAUUAUCAUAUGUUAAACUUUUAUAUCUACAACUAUAUAUUAUUUAAUUAAUUUGAAACUCACAACAAUAUAUUAUCUAAAAUGAUUAUAUACAAAAUAUAAUAGUCAUAGCAAACUUUUAGUUCAUGCGUUAUUUACAAAAUAGGAUAUCAGAAAAAAAUAAUAAUUCAAAAGAUAUUAAUCAAAAGUCUAUUUUAACUACAAAUUUAUUGAGAGUGGUCUUUUUUAUAUAUUUUAUGUUGUGGCACCUACUGAUAUCUCUAUGUUUUUCAUUACAAGUAUGGUUUAUUGCGUGUUUUUUUAUCAUUCCACAAUGGUGUCUAAAACAAAGUAAAAAAUAUAAAACAAAUGAUUAUAUAUUAAUAAUGAUGAAUAAAAAACCUAAACAAUAUAAUUAUAUACUUACACAAUAUAUAACACUAAAAAAUCAUAUAUUUAAAAUGUUUAUGAUAAUGUUAAAUGUAUACAUUUAUAAAAUAAAAAUAUAUCCGCACGAACGUGCAGGUCAAAUUCUAGUUUUGGAUAAACGGCAGCUGUUUACGGUUUUAGCAUUACCGAUAUAACUGUUAAGAUUAGGAAUCCGAUCUUAGUAGAUAAAAAGGUUUUUAUAAAGGUAAAAAAAAUAUCAGAUUUCUUAAGCUGUAAAGAUACAAAUCUAAGAAAUUGUAAAAUAUUCAUUCAUACAAUCAAUAUAUGUACAAACCAUAAACCAAAUAUUUAGCAACUGAGUUUCUCUCUAGUUCUUUUGAUUUCGACGAGAUUGUUUUACCUUUGUUCUCAACAUUUUACUAGCCUUAACAUUUUUCUUUAGCUUUGUAGUUGAAAAGUUUAAAAGACAUAUGUUGAUAUUGAAUGACUCUUUCAUUACACUCCCCUUAAAAUUUAAAAUUCAAAUAGCAUUAUUCAAACAAUCACCUUACAAUUACAUAAAGUUUUCUUUUUAACUUAGAUCAAUAACAAAAAAUAAAUCCUUCUUAAUCCAUGUUUCCCCAAUCGUAAAACAUCAGAAGAACCUAGAUCUUGAGAUCUCACCAUUUUUCACUGUAUCAAAAGAAACACAAAGAGAUCAAGCCAAGAGAGAAGUCUUUUUCUGUGGAGCAGGACACUUGAAGUCACGAGGUGGAGUCUUGCCACAGUCGACGAGAAGCUCAAGAGCAAUGGGAAUAAUGAGGUCGAUGUUGAGAAGCUUCGCUCUAAUGGUGGUGCAAAGACAGACCGCUGCGUCAAGACCCACUAAACCGCCAAGAACUGGGCAACAAGUUGCCUUUGCAUAGCUUUUUCCUAGUCCGAUGUGAAUCAAGCCGCCAAGCACGUCCACACACGCGCCUAGCUUCAGUGCGUCGAUGGAGCACGUCUCCGGUUCAGGCGUUGGUGCCGGAGGUGGAGGAGGACACGGAGUUGGUGGAGGAGGCGGUGGCGGACAUGGCGUCUCUGGGGUUGGAGUUGGCGGUGGUGGCGGGGUUACGACUGGUGGGGUUGGAGUUGGCGGUGGAGGAGAAGGCGUAGGAGAUGGAGUGUACGGAGGUGGUGGCUUGACGGUGGGCGGUUUUGGAGUGUAAGGUGGAGGGGAUGGAGUGUACGGAGCUGGAGGCUUGACGGUGGGCGGCUUUGGGGUGUGAUGAGGUGGCUUGACGGUGGGUGGUUUGGGAGUGUGAGGAGGUAGUUUUGGGGUGUGAUGAGGUGGCUUAACGGUGGGUGGUUUUGGAGUGUGAUGAGGUGGUUUUGGAGUGUGAUGAGGUGGUUUGACGGCGGGUGGUUUUGGAGUGUGUUGUGGUGGCUUGACAGUGGGUGGUUUAGGCGGUUUAAUGGGAUGUUUGGGAGGUUUAACGGGGUGUGGAGAUGAUUUUGGAGGGUCACUGCAGUCACAAGCGUAAGAGACGGCGCAGAAACCAAGGAGGAGAAGUAUCAAAAAGGAGAGGUUUUGUUUGUGAAGAAUCCCCAUCUUGAGGUUUGGUUAGUGAGGAAGUGAUGAAGUACGUUAAAACUAUUGAGUCCUCUUUAUAUAGACCAAAGGAAUUUUUAAGUUUUUUGUUUUCUUUAUAUUUUUGUUUUCAUUAUCGUCGUCCGUGAUGAUAUGAACGUGCCAAAUUGCUUUGUAUGAGAGGGUUGAAGUUGGACUAUAAUAUAAUGAGAAAAUAAUAUAUCUCAUUUGGUCGUAAGAAGUAAUAAUGGGUUUCCUUUUAUUCAAAAGAAAAUAAACUAGGUACGACGGGUUUCGUCAAGCUUUCGACAGCAAAAAAAAAAAAAAAAAAAGGGGUCUAAACCUAAAACCUAUACCCUAAACCCAAAUCCUAGACCUAAACUCAAAAGGUAAACUUUAAACCUAAACCUCAAACUUAGAUAUUAUAGGGUUUGGGUUAAAGUUUACGGUUUGAGUUUGUGGUCUAAGACUUGGGUAUAGGGUUUAAAUUUAUAGUCUAUUUUUUUAGGUUUAAGAUAUAUAAUUUAGAUUUAGGAUCUAUGAUAAGGGUAUAGGGUUUGGGUUUAGGAGUUUGGAUUUGGAUUUAGAAUUUAGGGUAUAUGAUUUAGAAUUUAAGAUUUAGGGUUUAGGGUUUCGCUGGAAGCGAUAAAGUCGCUAAAAUUAGCGUUUUUAUUUUUUGUAACUAUUUUUUAUUUAAUUUAAUGUUUUUUUAAUUAAUAAUAUAUGUGUCACUUUGAUUGUUUUUAAAACGUGAGGUGAAUUUAAAAGUUUACCCCCUAAGAUGAACCUAAGUUUUGUUCUUUUCUGAAACCACAAUCAUAAGAGCAUUUACGUUGGGUGGUAAAACACCCUUUCAAAUAUCUCAUAUAUAAAAUAUACAUAUUUAAAAUAUAAUAAUUGAAUGAAUAUUUUUUAGAUGACCUAAAAUUUAUGGUGAAACACAUUUUUUUUGCCUUAUUGCUCAUCCUAAAAUUUUAACUAAUUCACGAAAAUGUCAUUAUUUAUUAUUAUUUUUUAAAAAAUGUUAUUAUUAUUCAAACAUCUUCGUCUUCUUCACCUAUUUAUGAUAAUGUAGUUAUCAAUACCACCAACCACUGUAAACAACCACAAUCAAGCUUUAAAUGCACUAGAAAACAAUUUAUACAUUUUCUUAUUUUAUUUCUUACACACACACACAUCUGUUUAUCUUAAAUAUACUCUCUCAUUUCAUCCUAAAUACUUAAAAUUUUGGAUUUCAAUAUUACAUUUUCAUUAGAGUUACGCAUGUUUAUUAUUACUCGUGUUUUAUUAUUCUUGGUCAAUAGCGAGUGAGUAUCAAAAACUCCUAUAUUGGAUAUUUUUAUUCUUGGUACACAUAAGUAUGUUCUAUUUUUAUUCCAAGAUUUUGGUCAACCCAUUGGUUUUGAGAGCAUACAUUUUUAGAAAACUUCUCCAGAAGUUUUCACUAAUAAAAUCAAACAUGGCAAAUUGCAAAAAAUAGUCCACGCAGAUACUUUGCUACUAAAAAAAAAAUUCUCAGUGAGCAUGCUCACAACAUAUUUUUAUAGAAGUUUUCUAUAAAAGUUAAAUUUCUACAAAAAUUUGGUCAAUUGGAAAAUUAACAUAAUUGUCAUAGAAAAUUUCUAGAGAAGUCUUCUCUAGUGAAAUCAAUAUAUAUCCAAAUAUAAAUGUAACCCAAUAAUUUACAAAGAGAUGAGAAAUUCAUAUAUGUUUGUUGUCUUUAAAUUCAAAGAGAUUAGAAAUGUAAAAUUUAUAAGAUUUCAAUUUAUUUUCCAUCAAAAUUUUUUUUUCAGAAUUUUAUAAAUUAAUUUUAAGAUUAAAAUCAUGAGUUGAAUUCUUGAAAAAUCUUCUCGUAUAAUAUUUCAUUGUCUUGCGAAUAAUUCUUAUGAUUAUAACAGUAAAAUUAUCAAUAAUUUUUUUGUUCUAUUAUAAAACAUAACUGUAAUUUCACUAUCUUCUUAGGUUACUUUUACAUUUGAUUGAAUUUGGAUGUAUUUAUUGAAUCAUUUUAGUAAAUUGCCCUAAUUAAAUUUGAUUUAAGAGAAAAACAAAGACAAUAAUAAAAUACUUAUGUAAAAGAAAAUUUCAUGAAUAUCUCAAAAAUUCAAAUUACACAAUCUUGUCAUUCUUUCUCUUUUCUUUUAAAAUUUUUAUUUAAAAUUCCAUCAUUAUAUCUUUACUGAAAAUAUGCUAAAGUAUCAUUCCUUUUUUAUUGCUCCUUCGAUUACUGGGUCCACUUAUUUCUGACAAUUUGAAGUUGUUUCUUUGGAGUUUAGCCUUUUUGUCUCUACCUAUAAAUACUGUAGCUUAGAUAUAGUCCAUAACAAAAACACGAAUAGAGAAAAAGAGAAUCAAUAUUACCUAGGUCCAAAGCUACAGUGUAUUUUAAGUGUAAUCAAUCUCAAAAUAAUGAUGAUGACAGUAUUUGUAUCCCUUAUAUACUAAAGCACAAGUCACUUGGCGAAUCAAAAACCGACACAUGGAAUUUGUUUUUAAAUAAAAUAAAAUGAAAAAGUCUGACUCCACUUAAUUUCUCUUUUAUAUAAUUUAAAUUCUUUUUUUUAUGUAAUUCAAAUUAUGUGUCUACGGUUAAUGUUUAGAAUUAGUUAGAAAAAAAGAGAAAAAAAGUUAAAAUGUAUCUGUUUAACCUUUUCUCAAUCAAAACCACGAUCACCACUUUUUCACAUAAACUGCUUACACCUAAUUCAAGUGAACUUUAAAAUCAUUUCAUCAACAUAUUUUUUUUUACAAAGCGCUCUUCGUUUCACACAAACAUCAACAAAUUUCUUUAUAAGCUUCACUAAAACCAUUUUUCUGAAGUGUUCAAUUUUGAUGUUUACGAGCCACAAUCCAAUUCAUGCUUUCAGCCGCUUUACGAGCCACUAAAACCAAAAUUUCUAGAAUUCACAGGUAAACAGAAAAUCAAGCAUCAAUCUUUGUAUUGUUCAGUUUUUUAUUAUUAUUUCAGUUUGCUGCAGACAUGUACGAGAAGAAGAAGAUCUAAGCAAUGAAAGACAAGUUUGGAUGAAGUAUGUUCUAGAGCUUAAGUUGGGGGAAGUUGGAGACAGAUGGAUUAGAUAGAGAAUUAAAUAGAGUUGCAAACCAUUUGACCAUUCAGAAUUUCAGGUAAACAAUAUUUUUUUUACUUUUCAGUAUUUAUAAAAACAAUUUUUUUUUUUACUUUUCAGUAUUUAAAUAUAUAUUUAAUUAUAUACUUGGAUAAUAAUUACAUUAUUGCUUCUAUACUAAAGAAUUAUUGUUUUACACCCUUCCCCAUCCUCUUUACAAUUUUGAAAUUUGAGACACUGUUAUUUAGGUUCAUACAAUAUUUGACAAAAGAAAAACUUAUUCUUACUGAAAAGUAUACAUGAUUAAUUAAGAGACAGUAAAAUUAAUCCAUGCGUAGCAUGGGCAGUAACACUAGUUACUUACUAAUUCAGAUGUGUGCUCCUAUGCACAAACGAAUGCUUAUAUUAUAUUCCAUCCGUUUCACUAAGGCCCUCACUGGUGACUUUUUUGGGAACACGAAAAAUGAAUAAGAAAUGAACGUAUAGGAAUAAAAUUGCAGGAAUAAAAAGGAAUGCUGGUUCCUUAUCAAAUUUAACAAGAAAUGCUUUUGUUCAAUAUUUCUCUACAAAAAAAGAAUGGAGAGGAAUAAGAAGGAAAAACUAUUUCUUGUGAAUGGUGAUUUUUUUUUAGGAAUGAUAAGGAAUUCAGUGUUCACUUUCGUUCCUUGGUCACCAUUCAACGCCUAAGAUAGAUUUUUUUUUUUAAAAAAAAUUUGUUUCACAAAGAUGUAAUUUUUGUGUUUUCUAUGAAAUCAUUGUAAAUUUCAAGAAAAUUAAUUGACUUUAUUGAAUUACUAUUGGUUAAAAGUUAUUAAAAAUUGAAAAUUACAAAAAAUAAUGGAUUUAUUAUGGUAAUUAAAUGUGUUUUCUUAAUAUGUGUAAAAAUACUAAAAACAUCUUUUUGGAACGGAGGGAGUAUCCCUUAUAUAUUAAUUAAGAAACAUUACAACCUUUAAGUGUUGCUACAUGUCAUCAUCAGAAUGAAAUUCAGAAUCCUUAGAAAAUAUGUUUGUCCUAUUAAGUAUAUAUUAUACUUUUCAUUAAACUAAUCAUAAAAUUAAUUAAAGUGUACAAUUACAAUUUUCUUUUCUUUUCUUAAAUAAAAGCUACGGAAUUACCAAAUACGACUAAUAUAUGUAUGACAAUUAGUGAUUCUAAUAAUAAAGAUUUGAUAACAAUUUAUAUCUCAUCCAUCGAAUUUGUUUAAUUUUAUAUUAUUAAAAUAAAUUAAACAAUCAAAUUAGCUAUAAAAUUAAAAUAUAGAUUUUUUCGUAUAUGUUACAUUUUGAAUUUAAAAAAUAACGACAAAAUUACUAAAAUUGUUAAAAUUAUUAUGUUAAAAAUUAAUGAUCAAUGGUUUAACAUCCCUUAUAUAUUAAUAGAGAAACAUUUAAAAAGUUUAGAACCUGUAGCUUGUACUAAUUAAAAAAGUGUCAUGCUGAGUUGUCAUGUAAUUGGAAUGUUAAUUUGUUUACGUGGCGGCUUUUAAAAUCAAUUGAGAAUUUUGUUAGUCAAAAAUUAAAUUGCUAGAAAAUAUUGUAUUAUAUAGUAUGUACAUUAUGGACCAUUCAGUAUUAAAAUUGAAAUUUAUUAUAUAUUAUUUCCUUAAAUAAAACCUACAGAAUUACCUAAUGUGAUUAUGAUAUAUAUAGUAAUUAAUGAUUUUAAAUAAUAAGGAUUUGCUAAUAAUCUGUAUACUUUCUAUCAUUUUUAUUUAAUUCUUUAUUAUUAAAAUAAGUUGCACAAUUACAUUAAUCAUAUAUUAAAAUUUUAGAUUUUUUUUUUGUAUAUGUUGUAUUUUAAAUUUUUCAAAACGAGUAUAAAUUAGUAAAAAACUGUUAAAAGUCUCACAUAAACUUUUGUGAUCAAUGUCAAAGUUUUUUUCUAUAAUAAGAUACAAUGAUAAUAAAAUCAUAUAAAUAAAUAAUUUUAUUUUAUUAGGUGUUUAUGUUAAUAUAUAUAUAUACAUCAUAUCGUUUAAAUUUAAUUAUAUAUUAUAUAAGAUAUGUAAGAUUGAUUGUUUUAAUUUAUUUAUCCUAAAAUGAUUGCGAAUAAAUAAGAGUGGUCAUUUGAUUUAUAUGUGCAAGCCAAUUUAUUACAUAAUAGUAACUGAUUUCUUAGUUAUUUAAUAUAUAAUUAUUAUUUUAUUAUUUUAUAAUAUGCAGAAAAAUAUAAAAUAAAUAAUAAAUAUAAAAUAUUUAUUCUGCACAAGACGCAGAUCUUAACCUAAGUAUGUAUCUCUUUAAUAAUUUUGAAUCUUAAAUAUUUUCUAAAUCCCGUACCAAAUUAAAAGAAAGAAAUGAGAAUAAACUCAAAAAUCAAUAUUUAUAUCGAGCAAUAACCAAAAUGACACAAAAAUGAGAAAAAAUAUCAAAGAUAAACAGAAUUGGCACGUGAACGUAAACUUCUCAUAACCAUAAUUAAAUUUUAAAUUGCUAAAUCAUGAUAUAAAACCGAGCUGACAUAGUUUCAUUGUAACCAAAUAGUAGGCAUGAGAUUUUUUGGCCUAAAUAUUAGGUUUUUAUGCGGUAAAUAUAUUUGUGACCUAAAAUAGUUUUAAAAUUGAGAUCAGUUCAUUUGUAAACAAAUUAUGUAAUUAACAAAAUAAUUAAAAAAAUUGUUUAAGGGCCAAAAUUUUUAAUUUGAUCAAUAAUAUGAAUUUUAUUUUCUAUACGAUAUUUCUUAAAUAAUUUUCAUAUAAAUUUACCCUGUAUAAGGCGCAAGUCUUAUCCUAGUAUAGUAGUGUUUGCUAAGACUUAAGAAAAUAAUGUUAUCGAUUAAGGUCAUUCUUUUUGCAACUACGUAGUAGAUUUUUAUUUAGCUGGGAUAAAACGUUCAUCACAAGCCAUUGAUUUGAAACAGAAAAUAAGAUGAAUUAACUGUACACCUUAAGUAAUAACAUGACUGCGUUUAAUUUUGUCAUCAGUUAGCAUAUUGAUUUAGCGGUCCUAAUAUUUUCUUACCUUUUUAUAUUGUGGAAGAACCGUAAGGUUUAAAGGCUUCUACACCUAGGUCUGGGGUUCGAAUCCCAAACUAUGCAAUUUAUUGCACAGAUUACAGGAAAUCCAGGUUUCAAGUCCCGGAGAUAAUAAAUCAGCGUAAAAAAAAAAACUCAAAGGCAAGAGACCUACCAAAACAUAUAAAAAUCAUACACCAAUUUAUUUUGUCCAUUUAAACAAAACUUAACUAUCUGAUCACUUUUCCUUGGACACGGAAAUUAGUAUACAAGUUCAUUAUCUUUUUAUUUUUUUGGUAAAAAUAUUAAAAUUAUCAUUACCAAUUUUAGUUUUUGAUAGAAUACAGAGAUCACAAAGAAACAGAAAAUUAAAAUGCAACUAAACAGAAGCUCUAACUGGAAAAACAGAGGAAUAUACAACCGGCUACAAGACCAACACGCUGAACACAUCAGACUUGGUACAUUUCGCUUGCCGCAAAAAGAUGGCUCGCUGUGAAAACGAGAUCUUGAGCCCGGUAAAAUUGGCGUACCCGAUGAACAAGUCUUUAAGAUAAGAUCCAUCUAAGAACAGCUCGCUAAUGACCUCCUAAUCCGAGUCCAACAUGAAUAGACUGGCAGACCAGAGACCUAACACACUCGCUAGACCGCCGAGCCUUAUUCAAAACAAACACGAACACAUGCUGUGAUGGAGACAAACCUGAAUAGAACACUUCAGAGGCCGCUAAAAGAAAAAGAACGACCUGCUGAGAAAACCAAAAGGCCGUCCAAGCACUGGGAUGACCAUUCCUUAACCAGGUGACCUCACCGUCCACGCAACCGGCUGACCCAACCAGCGCUACAAGCCGACGACCUGAUCCGAAACAGAACACUUGUCUUGGUCUUUGAGCGCUUCGGACCCGUCUAAGACGAAACGAAGCAAAGCCACAGAAGCUCAACCAGAUACAUAAGAGAAGAGAGCAAAGGGAGAGCACCCUCAUGAGACGGAGACGAGAAAGCCAUAGACGACAAACCUUUACCACACCUCCGAGGAUGCAGACGCAGAACCACAUGAGAACGAUAGCCACACGACCACACAAACCCUGUGCACGAACCGACAAGCAACAAACUUGCCGUCUCCCAUGAACGAAACCAGCCCGCUUGAUGACACAAGACCCUUGCGUCAGCAAGACGAAAAGUAAAACGCACCUCUCCACGUGAAGACAAUCUUCGGAUACAAACCAUCGAGAACAAGGAGAGAGCGCACCAACACAGCACGCGCCUCCACCACACAAACACACCUCCAGAUCUAAAAGAGAAAACUAGAUCGAAGAAGGUAUUUACCCUAAAAGCCGACUUCGAACGCGCACGCGCCACACUGCCUCACUGAAUCUCCAGGACGGAGGCCACCAACCUCGGAUCUACAACCCCCCGGAGCAGCUGCAGAGGAUCCCGUGGCAGAGCACGACCCAGAGGCCCGAGCAUAUCGACAGCACAAACAGCAGAAGAUAAAUCGGAGCAAAAAGGAAAGAGGGAGAGGAGAGGAAGACGCCUCCGGCAACCACGCGCGCCACCGCUGGUUUCGAUGGAGCAAGGAAGCUUUAGUAAAUCACUGCCGGAGGAGAGAAGGUGGAGGAAAGUUAUAAGAGAGAGAGGGUUUUCCCAAGUUCAAGUUCAUUAUCUUAUCAUAACUAAAUUGUAAAAUAGCUGUUAUCUGUACUGGAAAUUAGUAUACAAGUUCAUUAUCUUAUCCGGUUAUCUGUAGUGGAAAUUAGAUAUUCUAAGUUUGUAGCUUUUGAACCCGAGGUGUUUAAUAUUUUUCAUGCGGUACCAGUUUACCACAUUUGUGUGGUUAAAAUGAGAUUAUAAGCUGAUUUCCAAGUACAAAGUUAGUAGGAUUCCGUGGAUGGUUAAUUUUAGUGCAAAUUUGCAAACUAUGAUGGCCCUCGUGGUCGUCUUACCAUACUCGCAAGAUAACCAUUUGUUACGUUUUAACCAAGUUAAGUUUUCACUAGCGUUGUCACAAAAGCUUUCAUUAAUAUGUCAAAAGAUAACAUGCAAGAGAUGUUAGACUGUAUAUGGAAUAUUCAACUAUUCAAAAUCUAACAAAUUACAAAUAUAUUGAAAAAUCACCGCGGACUCAUUUCACCCAGUUCAUAAUUAUUGUGUUUAUACUAACUAGGUCCUUUUCUGCGUUACGCGCAGAUAGUAUUUUGUUUUUUUUUUCAUAAUUUUGUACUAUUAUGUCAAUUGUUUAGUUUUAUAAAAUAUUAUGUUUUUACUGUAAAUUUGGAAUUAAAAAUCUAUUUUCCCCUUGCUGUAAAGUAAGUUAAUUUUUUUGAAUCUUACCACAACACAUUAUACAUGAAGAGAAUAUAGUUGGUCUUUAUAUUCUUAUUUGGUGUAAUAUUGGAAAUUUUGAUGGUUUGUUUAAAUGGUUUUUUUUUAAAUUAUAUAUUUUAGGAUUGACUUUCGUGACUAUAUUCUAUAAUUGUCUAAAAAAAAAUUGUUUGUCCCAUAUACACAUCCACAUAAAUAUGGACUUCUGAUAAAUUUGUUCAUUGGGAUAUUUAGUUUUACUUUCAACUUUAUUCUCUUUUUUGGCACCCUCAUGCUAGCUUGUCGGGCUAGCCAACUUUGUGCAAAAGGGUUUACAAAAGCUGAUCGAGAUGCGCGUGAUCGGACACCUUUUGCUAGGCUAUUCGUAUAGAAUUUUAAAGAUCUAGGAAUAUAAGCAAUAGAAAGUUCAGAAAAUUCUUUGGAUACAGCUUGUAUUUCGUCGAGCUCCGAGUCCAAUGCAGGCCAAUCUUCCUCCUUUUGAAUGAGUAUAACCAGUUGUUCACAAUCGAUUGAAAGACCAUUUCUCUGUGUCCAAACUUCAGUAUAACUUGCAUUGCCCAUAGAAAACCUUCAGCUUCCGCUUGCAGUGGUGAUUUGGUGCGUGUAUAUCGGUCCUUGCUCCAAACAGCAUGAAAGUCACCAUCCAUUAACACAAAACAGAGUCCAGAUAUGUCUCUUUCAUUUAUCCAUGAUGUCUAGCAGAAGCGUUUCUUUGCGGAGGAACAGUUAUGUCCGUUACCUCAACUUCCAUAUCAAUCGUCAUAAUCUCGUCUAUACGUUGAGCUAUCCUCCAACACUUUGCUUCAAUUUUAUUUGCUAAUGGGAAAGACAUAAUUCCUACGACACUAUUAAUCAUUGUUUUUUUGUAACACUGAUACAGCAAACUUAUGUUUUAUUUAACAAAACUCUUAUUUUAAUUUUGUAUUAAAGAAUCAAUCAUAUUUUAUAUUAUCCAUUUUAGUAAAUUUGCUUAUUUGUCAUGUUUUUAUUAGAUUUUAGCAAAAUCAUUGAUUUAUUAUUUAUUUUUAGCUAAGUCACUAAUUUAUUAAUUUAAAAAAUACCCUUAAUUAAUAUUAUAUAUAUAUUAAAAAUGAAUUUUAUUUUAGUAAUAUUGAAUUUCUAUUUUAUAUUAAAAUUUAGUUAGUUUUUCUUAUUUGUCAUAUUUUAUUAGGUUUUAGACUUUUAGAUAGGUUAUUGAUUUAUCCUUAAUUUCUAACUGAUUCGCUAAUGUGUUAAUUAAAACAAUACCUUUAAUGAAUUUUAUAUAUAAUUAAAAACGAAUUUUAUUUUAAUCAUAUAAAAUUUAUAUGUUAUAUUAAUAUUAAAUAAUUGAUUCUAAAAUAAUAUAAUAAAAUUAUCAAAAUUUUUAAAAAUAAGAUAAUUUUGAUAUAUAUUUUGUUGCUAUCUGAAAACAAUAUUUUUAUUAAAAAAGUUAAAAAGAUACAAAAAAUUAUAAUUAAAUAUUAUUCAAGAAAAAAACAUUUAUAUAAAUAUAUUUUCUAAAUUAGUUCUAAGAUAUGAGUGUUUUAAAAAAUUUAACACGAAAUGUUUAGAACACGGGAUUAUACUUAUGAGAGAGUGGCUCGAGAAUGGGCUUCGAGAUAGGUCGAAUGAGUUCUGAAAAUAGCUUCUUUUUUUUUAAUUCAAGUCUAGUCUGGAUGACAUGACAUCUUGGUUGGUUGACAAUAUUUUAUCCAUGUGACAUGACUUAGAAAAGAGGAAUUUAGUCCAUUUUAUAUAGUAGGAUAAACUGAUAUUACAUUUAUAUAAUUAAAUCUUGGUUUACGUUCUUUAGACCUUUUUCCACGCUCCUUUUAAGAUCUUAGCUUCCCACGAGAAGUGAUCGAGUCCGUGAUUGAUGACUAUCCUUGGAAUUAUUUUCAUAUCCAUAAAGUUGUCCUGUUAUGGCAUAGAUUAAGAGUCGUUAGCACUUAGCAGACACAAUAAUAAUGAAACUGAUAAGUAAAUAUAAAAUAGUGAUAAGUUAGCUCAAUCAAAAAUAUUUAAAAAUAUGUUUUUAAUGUGAAAAAUGUAUUGACGCGGGUACAAGGUUGCGACUUGCGGGUCGAUUUGGCGUGUAGUAAAAAUAGUGUAACCCGUGAAUCUGCUCCUUUAAUUUAAGAUUUUUUUUUUUGUUUUGUCUUUUCAAAUGAGAGUGUGAUAAUGUCACGUAUAGGAAGAAUGAACCGUAUAUGAGUGGGAAUUAUAUUGUAUAUAUACAAUGAUCACAAUUCACGUACAUGGAUCGCAUGUGAGCAGACCAUUGUUAAUUUGUGCUGAAACCAAGGGCCAGAAUAUAAGUUAUUAAUCAAAUCCAAAAUUGUCGAGAUUAACUUCAUUUCCAAAUCAGCGUGAUGAAGACAGCCCAUCCAAAGCAAAGAACUAAAGCCGAAUCAAGUUUCAUUCGAAGUAGAAUAUACCAAGCUUUGUUCUAAUAAGAUGUUUCAAUUAGUUGAACCAGCUCUAGCGGAAUUGGUAUCUGAAGAUGUUGAAAUUCCCCUUUAUCUUUAUAUGAGCUAACAAAAAGGCAGUUUUCUUUUUUUUUUUUUUUUUAACAUAAGAGAAACCAAAAGAAAAGAAACAAGAUCAAAUUUGCUUAGAAGCAUAAGAGAAGACAAGUGAAAGUCAAAGACAAUAUGAAAGGAUCCAAUUCCUACUACCAUCAAUCCAUCCACAAUCAAAUGUAAGAAAUUUAAGUUACACACUGCAUCAAUUCAUUAUAUUUUGAAAACCUCUUUGAUUUUUUGUCUUUGUAAAUUUUGUACUCAAAUCACUUUGUAAUAAACUAGAUUGUUGCUUUCAUUAUGUUUUGAUUUUCUAAGUUUGAAAAUUCAGCCAAAGGUCAUUGCAUAAAAAUCAUUAUAUAAGGUCCAUUUGUAACCAUGUAGAUUUUUACAUAAUCAAAUUAACUUUUUAUCGUUCUUUUUUUGAAAAAGAAAUUAAAUUGUUUUCUUCAACUUGAGUUCUCUGACAAACUUGAAUUCAUACGUAUACUUAAUUGGGACAUUACUACCUUGACUAGAAAAACUAACGUUUUAUUAAAAAUCUUUCACAACUUGCGUGAUAUACAACAAUAUAUCCACCCAUCAUCCUCAAUGCUUCCAAAAAAAUCCAGCUCAAUUUGUUAGAGAAGCUCGGCCAUUUUGAACCACUCAUCAAAUAGAGCAACCAACAUUUUAUUCCAUCAAUUCUACAUGCCUUGAGACAGUCUUAUGUUCAUAUCUUUCACAUAUUGCAUUUACCAUAAUAAUUCGAUGUCAUUUAUUUCACAUAUUAAAUAUAAUAAUUUUACGUGUUUAAAUGAAAUUGCUCCAAUAAUGACAAGAAUCAAAUCUAUUAACGAUUUUUUUUUUACAUAAUCAAUUAGAUAUGAGCAUUCACGUAUACGUUCGGAUACAUAUUGAUUUUUAUGGGAAUCGAGUUUUUGGAUUUUAAAUUAAACUAUAUUUGGAUAUUACAAAAUUUUCGGACAUUGUUCAAUUUGGAUACUUUCGGUCCGGGUAAGUUUGUAUGACACUAAAAAUAUCUAAAUAACAUAUAUGCUUAAAAAUCUAUACUAUAUUAAAAGGGAUAUAUGAGGAGUAGGGAGGGUGUCCACGUCAGACAAAAAAAUCAACCAAUCAGGUUGCAAUGUUUUGCCACGUAAGCUCUUUGUUGCCCGUGUUAUUCUUUGGCGUUUUCGUUUGGGCUUUGCGUUUUUCUCCUUUGAUCUGCUGUGUAUACGUUUGGGCCAUGGAGCCCAUCAGACUUUAGAGACGGAAAUCUGAUACCUAGCCGAGUAUGUAUGCUGAGAUCUCGCCCUUUCUCAUUUCUUCAAACCCUAACUCUUCGACAUCCCCUUUGCUCUUCCUCUUAUUUGUUCCGUUUCACGUCUGAUUCUCCAGUGCUGCCAUGAUCACGGAGUCAACUUCUUCGACAACGCCGAGGUUUACGCCAAUGGCCGAGCUGAGAAGAUCAUGGGUCUGGCGAUUCGCGAGCUGGACUGGCGGAGAUCCGACAUCGUGGUCUCCACCAAGAUCUUCUGGGGUGGUCCUGGUCCUAACGAUAAAGGUUUCUCGAGGAAACAUAUCAUCGAAGGAACCAAAGCUUCUCUCAAAAGACUCGAUAUGGACUAUGUAGAUGUCCUCUAUUGCCACAGGUCAUAAAGAUUUGAUUUUUUUAUAUUUUAUUUCUUGAAGAUCUAUUCUAGGGUUUUGAGUUUUAGAUUAUGAUUUAACUCUUAGGGUUCCUGAGAUUGAAAUAAAGAGUUCGAGCUUUAGGUCUUUUAGUGUCAAUGUCUUCCGUCGUUUCUACUAUGGAACCUCUCAGUGGUUCUGUAACGCCUCUCCAUUUUUAUUUGUCUCCAUUCAUUGAUUCCUUAUUCCAAUCAGGCUAAAGCCUCAUGUCAUUUAUGUGUAUUUCCUUGAGAGGCUUUCAGACCAUGUCAGGUGAUUCUAAGACGACAGGUCGGCUCUUCUUCUUGCGUUGGUUAAUCGCUGAGUUUUUUUAACUUCAUUUUCAGCUUCAACAGUUUCGUCAAAAGAAGGCUGACAAAAACACUGAUCAUAAAAAGGACCCCAAGGGCAGUACAAGCCAAGGAAAUCCUCCAAAAAAUCUGGUAAGAAGCAUGAGCCUAAACCUGACACUGGUGGUGUCAGUGACGAGGCAGAAGCUCCGUCUGAUGUGGCUGUAGGAGGAGCUUCAUCUCAUGUGAAUAUUGGUGAGGAGGUUGUUGAUCCUCCACCGACUUCUGUAAAUGCAGCAGCUAACAGUGAUGUUUCAGUUGACACGCUUCAGCCAGGAAACACCACAGCAACUUCUGAUAGUGGAGAUGAACCGAGAAAAAAAGUUGCGAAUUCCGAAAAUGAUAUCAGCGUAGCAUUGUCCACGGAAGAAGAGAAUGUGAAGAGUAUCGACAUUGGAGCGGCUGGCGCAGUAGAUUCUUUGACGUCUGACCCUGCAGAUACCGAGAAGGGAGUUACACAUGACGAUGCAGAGGAGUCCCUUCUGGCCGUACGAUCUGAGUUACAAAAGAGAUCUAAUGAACUUGAACAAUCAGAACAGAGGUUAUUAUCUACUAGAGAGAAGCUUAGCAUAGCUGUUGUCACGUGUUAGCUCUGUUUGUUCUCAUAUGCAUUUUAAGACUCAGAGACAGAGAGAGCAUUAUCUGUUGUGUUUUAGUUUUUGUUGUUUCCACUUUAUAAAUACAAGUAUAAUGUUUUUGAAACUUAAAAGUUGGCUUUUAUAGUUGUUGUCAAGAGGUCAGUAGUAAUGUAGUAUAUUGAAAAGCUCAUUUAAACGAUUGUUAACUGUGUUAAAAAAACAGUUGUUAAUUAUCAUACAAGUUUUUAUUUUAUAAAAACAGAGGAAGUGAAGAUAUACUAAUUUAAAGAUUUGAUGAAAAGUAUAUAAUGCUGAUCGUGCACAUCAUAAUGUCAGCACCAUCCUAAGUCUAAUGUUUAGUCUACCUGUUGGCAAUUGUUUAGUUCCAAUUAUUUAGUUUCUUCUUAAAACAUACAUGCACGUACAUUUCUGAUUUUUUUGUUUGAAAAGACAUUUCUGAUUUUUUUUACAUAGAUAUCCUAUACAACUUCGAUUUUCUUUUGGGGUAAGAUUCAUUUUUCACCGUCAUUUUAAACUAAUUUUGGAUAUUCUAUUUUAUUUAGUUAAAUCAGAAAACAAUUUUUUUUAGAAUUGUCUAAAGAAAGUAAGAAAUAGAGAAAAACGUUCCUAGGCAAUUUUAUGAAUUUACUAUUUGAGAAAACAAAAGAAGUAAAUCCGGAUUUAUAAUUAUUAGUAGAUAGAUCAUCUCAAGAGUACAAGUGAAACGAAUAAAAUCAAAAAAAUUAUUAAUAAUCUUAAUUGAAAAAAAUAAUAAUUAGAGAAUUUUCGAAAGGAGAGUUAGUUAUUGGAAUUUGUCUUUCACCAUCCACCCGCGUUUAUUUUUGAGAACGCUUCUCAGCGUCUCUCUCCUCUCAUCCCAAAAAAGUCUAAAGGUAAGUGUUUUAUAUUUAACAUAUUGUUCAUACAAUUAUUUUUAAAUAUUCAGGUGCAUGAAAAUUGGAACUCGCUUCUUCACUAGCAACCAAAUUUUACUUUGACAGCUCAGUCAAAUACAUCAAACAUUUUAAAGAACGAAUACCAUAUUAACUACAGAAUUAGCUGAGAUACAAAGAAACUCCAACACAACCAAAGUUAUAGAGUGAAAAAAAGACUGCACCCUGUUUCUAUUCUUUUUCUUAUGUCCUACCAAGUAUUACAUUUUGUUUGACUCGACUGUAAUAAAAGAAACAAAAUAUUUUUCCAUCUGUCUUUUUCCUUUAAACUAAUUUAUUAUUUUCUAUUUUUUGACAAUUUUAUCUAUCCACCUAUGGAAAAAAUUAUAUAAAAUGUCAACAUCCAAAUCAAAACAUAAUUGGACUUAGCAAAUAAAUUCUUAAUAUUAGUAAAAGAGGCUAUCGAAUAAUAUAUUCAAACUCAUUUUCCGCGCGUAGCGCGGACAAAGACUCUAGUGUUAUUAAUGAAUUUAUAAAAAUGAAAAAAAUCAAUCCCCACGGGCGUGCGGUUUAAACCCUAGUAUGUUUUAAAAUAGAGUUUCAACAGUGAAGAUAUCAGAGAAGAAGUGAGGUCCUUAAGACACGAGUUAUGCUUUUAAUUGCCUCGAGGAGAACAAGAACCAAGAACAACUAACCCAUCUCGAAUGUUUGUGUUAGAAUACAGGAAAAAAUUUGUUCACAACAACAAACCGGAUCGAUACCAAGGUAAGUUUGGAUUCAUGUCAAUGAACGAUCAGCCUCAAAUCCUUUGGACGAUGAUUUUCCGCUAUCAUAAGAUGAACUAGAUCACCCCUAUCAACUAAAAAGUAUAAAGGAGAUUUUUUUCCACAAGCUGAACAUAGAGAGGAAGAAGAUAAUAAAUAUAAACCAUCACCUUGAGAAAAAUAUAUCCACAUCAACCUAACAACUCCACAUUUCAAAAGAAAAUGUCCAUCCAUAAGCAUACUUCGAUUGAAAUAGAGGAUGGACCACAUCUUUGUUUACUACAAAAUUCUUUGACCAAAGGAGUUGCACUAACUACAUCCCAUCUUAAAAGGAUAGAAUGAUCCUAGACCAAAAUAGAAACCUUUUGCGAGCCAUUGAAUCUUGUAUUGAUAUGAAACACUAGGCCUGGGCGUAUUAUACUGAACCCGAAGCCCACACCCUAGUCCGAACCGAACUCGUGGGUCCGGAUCGGUAACGGAUCCGUUAAAAAUACCGAAUGGGUUUUAAGGCCCAACAUUUUGGACUACGGAUCGGGACCGGUUGUAAACCGAUAUCCAUAGUAGGUAACCGUUUAAACCGAGCAUUUAUAACAUGUCGCGUAUAUACAUACAUUCAUAAUACACUUACACAUAUAUUGAGAAUUUCUUCGGUUCCUGGACUUGUUUACGGCGAGUGCGACGAACCCUAGUUACGAAAAAGCAACCUCGAUUCUUGAUUUUCAUCAUUAAGCCGCUCAAACUGGCUACUAUAAAUCACCUCUCCUCUCCAUCUCAUGCUUCAUCAGACCAUUCGAGGAUCAAAUCAGAGGUAUUGUCCCUCCCUUUCUUCUACUCUUGUUCUUCUUUGUUACGAGUAGGCUAGUUACGAGUUUAUGUGAUUGAACUUAGUGGAGUUAAAUUAGUUUAGGAUACGGUUUGGUUUGUGGAACUGAUUCUGUUUGAAGUUUGGAUCUAUUAGAGUUGUUGUAACAAAGUUUAGAACUCAGACUGAUUUUUUGUCUGUUUCAUUAAUUUUAUUUUGCAGAUGGACUCAACAUCAACUCUUGGCCGAGAAAGCAGUAACAAAGAUGAUGAAGGAGAAACUCAAACACCGACUAGUGUGGGCAAGAGGAAAGAAACUCCGCCAACCAGUGGAGCAUCAUCUCAACCGAUCAAAGUGAAGCGUCUCCUCCCGACAAGAUCAGAUGUUUGGGAACAUUACACAAGAACUCCAGAAGAUCGAGAUAGGUGUAUAUGCAAUCACUGCCAGAACUCAUUCUCGUGUCUCACCUCCUCAAGAACAUCAAAUCUGAAGAAACAUCUUGAAGUAUGCAAGAACCAUCAUGCUUGGUUAGCUGGACAGAAAAAUAAGCAGCCCGUUAUUGAUGAUGAGGGGAAACUUAAGAAGGCAAAGGUGACUGAAGCUCAGUUUAGAGAAGCUACCAAUCAAAUGCUGGUAAUAGGGCAAUUGCCUUUAUCAUUUGUUGAGAGUGCAGCAUGGAAACAUUUCGUAGAGAAGGUAAAUUCCCUGCUUCUCUAAUCUUUAUGUUUUUUUUCUGUUAUCAUUUGUUGUAACUAAUAUAAUAUGUUUCCUGUUUGUAGACAACCUUGUUCACUCCUCUUUCAAGAAGAACCGCACGUAAAGACAUUGUGAAGAUGUAUGUGGCAAGGAAAGAAGCACUCAAGAAAUGGUUCAUAUCUAGCCAGCAACGAGUAUCUCUGACUACAGAUAUUUGGGUUUCCCAAACAACAGGUUAGCUAUAAUCUUUUAAUCACUACGACAUGUUAUUUGUUAUCUGAAACUGACAUAUUAUUUUUUGUAAAUUUUAUUUAGGUGCGAGUUAUAUGGUUGUGACAGUGCACUUCAUUGAUUCUUCUUGGCGUUUGAAGAAGCUGAUCAUAGGAUUCAAACAUAUCAUGGAUCACAAAGGUCAGACUAUAUCAACUGUUCUUCUCGACUGUUUGUCUGAAUGGGGAAUAGAUAAGGUUUUCUGCGUAACAGUAGAUAACGCUACUGCCAAUAGUUCUGCUUUGAGGAAGUUUCAGACUACUUAUGCUAUGGUUUCAGAUGAGGCUUUUGUUUUAGAUGGAGAGUUUUUACACAUGCGUUGUAGUGCUCAUAUCAUUAACUUGAUAGUUAGAGAUGGAAUGGCUGAAAUAGAUCAGAAUGUGGUGGCCAUCCGUAAUGCGAUCUCCUACGUUAGAUCACACACUAACAGAUUGAGGUCUUUUGAGCUGAAAGUUGAUGCCGGUAAGAUUACAAGAGGAAGCUUGCCAUUGGAUGUGAAGACAAGGUGGAAUUCAACCUAUCUAAUGUUGACAACAGCUCAGAAGUUCAAGGUGGCUUUCAAUAGGAUGGAGACAGAAGACAAGCUCUACAAUGAUCACUUCUAUGAGCUUGAUAAUGGAGUCAAAAGGACAGGACCUCCUCAGCCAAGGGAUUGGAAUGCGGUUGAUAAGCUGUGUCGGUUUCUCAUGAUUUUCUACAACUCGACGUUGGUGGUUUCAGCUUCAACUUCACUCAACUCGCAUAAGUGCUAUGGUGAGAUAGUGACUAUCGCGACCAAUCUCAGAAGUCUCUCUACCAGCCAUGAUCCUGAUUUGAAGUCAAAGGCAACAGAGAUGCUGAAGAAGUUUGACAAAUACUGGGAUGGUGUGAAGAACAUUAACAAGAUGUUAAUUGUGGCUACUGUGUUCGAUCCAAACAAUAAGUUGGAGCUUGCAAAGAUGUGUUUUGAGGAGUUAUAUGGGCUGAAUAGCAUUGAUUAUAAUGACAUGUUGGAGUCGUUGAUCACUCUGUUGAGAAGUUUGUACAAGGAGUACAGUGCAAGACAUGGAGGCGGUUUACAUCCAAAUGAUCAGGCAUCUCAGUCAUCCGAGCAAGUUCAGACUCAGAGUAGGAACCAGAGUAUUGAGAGGAUGUAGCUUGUUGAUGAUUAUGUGGGUUACAAGAGGAUGGAUGUUAGGUACAAGCAGAAAUUAAGCGAAAUGGGAGUUAGAGAAAAGAAGGAUGAGUUGGAAACUUACCUCAGAGAAUCUGUGGAAACCCCUGAUCUGAUGCUUGGAGUGGAGUACGAUGUACUCUCAUGGUGGAGAAAGAACACGUCUAAGUUCCCUAUCUUGUCUGAGAUUGCCCGAGAUGUGUUAGCCUUACAGGUUUCUUCAGUUGCUUCGGAGAGUGCAUUUAGCACUAGUGGAAGGCUUCUUGAACCACAUAGGAGUUGUCUUACACAUUACAUGGUUGAGGUUCUAAUGUGUACUGAGCAGUGGCUGAAGCAAGACAUCAAGAUGGAGUCAAGAGUGCUUUCAAAUGCGCAGAUACUUGCUGAUCUUGAAGACAUGGACAAGCUUGAAAGAGGUAAUAUCAAGAAUUUCUAUCUUUAAUUCUUGUACUACUUUGACUGUGUAAUAAUGGUUUUUACUCUCUUUUCAGAGUUUGGGGACAACACAAUUCCAGAAGAUGACAAUGCCAUGGCGUGAAGCAUGAGAAGAGAAGUUCAUGAAGCAUGAGAGGAGAAGUUCAUGGCUUUCAUCCGUUGAAGAAUCUUGUUUUAGUUUGCUAUCUGUUUCUUGUUUUAAGUUUGCUUUCUGUUUCUUAUUGAACUUAUGCUAUCUAUUUUCAGUUUGGUGUGUUUCAAGUUGAACUUAUGUUAUGCUAUGAUAGCUUUGCUAUCCAUUUUGCUUUCAAUGAAAAAUUUUCGGAUACGUAUGGGUUUUAUCGGUUAUCUUUGGUUAUAUAUAGUUUAUUUCGGUUCUUUGGUUAUUUUUUUUUAGGUUAUCUUUGGUUAAAAUUCGAAACCGAAUCGAUUUUAAUACGGUUUCGGGUUUAAGCGGAUUUUGAAUUAUAAAACCGUACCGAUCCGAACCCGGUUAGUUCCGAACCGGUCCCGUACCAAAAUUCUACAAUAACCGAAUGGGACUUAUAUGCUAAGAUCCGAAAAACCGAAAAACCGAUUAGACCGAACCGAACCCGAAUGGGGGACCGAAGGCCCAGGCCUAUGAAACACCAUAUGAGGCAUAUAUAUACACUAAUCUUCAUUUCCAUGGAGAUUUACAAAACCAUUGUAUACUCUUAGACAACAAAACAUGGCCAUGGAGGAGUAUUUUGAAGAGUGAAUGUUUGAGAUACCUACUAGAACUUAAAUGAUUAUGAAAAUUUAUAAUGACACAAUUUAUUGACGAACAAUAAGAAAAAAUUAACCGUAAGGUAGAGUGACAAGUCUAUCAAUACUUCAAAGACCCUCUGCACUUAUCCAUUCAAGCGGAGAAACAUAUCGAAAAUUCGACCAAUACAUAUUUAUCCCAAGAUACUUGGCACCAUACAUAAAGAAGCCAUGGACAAAAGAAAAAGCAUAUAUACCACUAUGUUAGGCGAAGCUAAGACAAUGGUGGAAAUCAUGCUUGACAACCAUAUCCACAAAGAAUUGCAGCCAUAGCCGAUCUUCAGAAUUAAUAGAUUAGAUGCAAAAAAAUAAAUAAUGUGGUCACUUUUGAGAGAAGAAAAAUAAAUUAUUGCUAAAGGAUGUGAUUUUAAACUGGGGUUGUGGGGAAGAGAACUAUCAUUCAAAACAACCACUGAACCAAAGACAAAAUUUUUAAAAUGUGUCGAAUUUAACUUUAUUAAAUAAAAGCUGGAAGCGUGGGCUUCAGCCGGCUUUGAUAACUGCAGCAGAUAAAAAAAUAAAAACAAUUCCCACUAUGACAGUUGAGUACUCAUGUCUCUCUACUAAGUGUGAAAGGUGUGAUCAGCUUCAUCAUAAAGAAUAAAUAUGCUUUAAGAGUAUAUGCAUGGUGAAUGGUUUUUGGAUCUCUACAUUGAUCUUCAGUGGAUGCUGAUAGGUUUGGAAAGAUAGCUCUGGACAAACAAGACUCAUGGGUGCAAGAAACCAAAGAAUAAGAGAAUUUGCCUUGCAUUCAGAGCCGGAAGCGCUAGGCUAGGCAAUGGACAGCAUGCUGCACCAUUUGACAUGUCAGCAUUUUUGGACAGAUUGUAAUAAUUUCAUCGAGAUGAUAAAGGAAUCUAAUGCAUGUCCGAUUUUUCCGACAGAGCUGAAGGAGAUACAAAAUCUCGAGAGAAGAUUCCACGAUUUCAAGCUAUCAUAUAUUUCCGGGGACAAAAUGAGACUGCUGAUUUUUUAGCUAUAUAACUGCUAGGUAUUUUCUUUGGGGUCUUUGUUUUGUUGGUUAUUACAUCAUGGUCUGGCUCAGCGCACCUAAACUUUGAGUAAUAUAAUAACCUUUUAAUGUAAAAAAAUAAAAUAAAUAAACUUUCUUCAUUUGGAACAAUGGUCAAAAGACUAUGCGCUUGAGACCGCAAGUAAUUAUGUUGCUGUCGUUUCUGAUACAUGCUCUAUUGGUGUUAGUUUCUGAUACAUGAUGUAUUGGGUGUUGUCUUCGACCUAGCAUCAAUCGUACAGGUUUCAAAAUAACAAACCUUUUCACAACUAUUCCAAACACUUUUGAAACAACUAGACCAUCUUUUUCCAUUAACCAUCACCGCUAACCCAAUGAUUUUUAUCAUCAAAGGAGACUACUCCAACGAUUGCUACUGCAUUGGAUUUUUAACCGAUACUUUCAUCUUCUGAAAAUUAUUUAGAGGUUGUUACUUCUAAAAAUGUCCCAAAAGCCGCAUAUGAUAUUUCAACCACUACAUUAUUCUCAAAGGAUGUCACAAAAACCCAAUCAGUUAAAAAAUGGUCAACUGCCCAUGCAUCAUUUUCUGAAGGUAAUAUCUCUCUCACUAUGAUAUUGUAGUUGGUCAAAGGGAUGGAAGCUAAUACUCUGACCCAAACCAUGAGAAUGAAAAAAAUGAGAGCUUUGGCUCAAAGGAUCUUAACGGAUCAGCCGUUAAAACCUUCUCAAAAGGUCCAAGAGAUAGAAGAGCUUGAGGAGGAAAAGGCUAAAGUUCUUUUUGUUCCUCAUGCAUAGUCUAUAUCUCUUAUUUCUCGAUCUGAUUUGUUUGUUUUUAGCUAUGUUUGUCAAUACUUUCUCUGGACAACGAUUCAACCUUCUAAGUUUCUGCCCGCUAGUCUCUCCUCUACUUUGUGUUAAUUUUUGUGAUCCAAAAGUUCAAAAACAUAGUCUUGUAAACUUUUAAUUUCUUUGGAAAGCUUCAAAUCAUAAUAUUAAGAGACAUUUGGUGGACAUAUGAGUUUUUUUUUAUACUUUUUGUUUGGGCUGAAUUUGUUUUUCAUGUUUUAUUCGGUUAUCUAUUUCUAUGUAUGGUCUACAUGUAAUAAUUGGGAGUGGUUGAUCAUAAAUUCUACAUCAGUGACAUUUGAGUCAUAGAAACAAGUAGAGAUUUGGAAGUACAGUUUUCAUGUAUUCACUUGAACAUAACAAACAAUUCUAGUCCAUAACUGUGGAAUCUGUUACACUUUGGUCUUCCGCAUCUGGAAAUUCUUGAAUGCUGAACCAAAACUCUCAUUUCUUCACUAUCCCAUUCUCUUUGUUGCCCUUCUCAUUUAAGAAACCUUCCUGACAUGAUAGUUUUCAUCCCCUUCUGCAACCUCAUCCUCAUCAGAAAUUUCUUCGCUCUCAUCAUCCUCGGCAUCUUCUGAUUCCUGCCUCAGUAGCCGUUGCUGGAUCCCAUCUCUGAUGGCUGUUCCCUGAGAAAAAAACAUUCAUCUAGACAUGAGUGAUGUAUGGAAACACUUGAAAUCUCAAAAGUUGAGAGAAUCAAUCCUUUUGCUUACCAUUUUAUGACAACCUUCCUCAAACAUUUCAAGAAACCCAGCAACCCAACGAUCAGCAUUUUCAACCCACUCAUUGCGGUGCAUCCCAGCAGUUUUUGCUACGGUUUGUAUCUGCACAAAAAAGAAAAAAAUAUUCAAGAUUUUAAAAGUUAUUUACUCUAUACCAAGCAGGGCAUCAGAAGCAACAUCAUUAACAAAUUAAAGAAUCCUCAGUUCCCACCUUUUCUUGUUGUUCUUUCACUUUCUCUUGUAGUUUCUUCAGUUUCACGUUCACUCUAAGCCUCUUCUCCUGUUUGUAUUAAACAAGCCCAUCAUAAUAUGUUAGUGUCAUGUUGGAUAAUACCAUUACCAUUUAGCACAUCAAAAAGAAUGGAGAGCGUGCCUUAACAAAGCUGACACCGAGCUCUUCUCUGGAAUAUCCUCGGUCCAAGUUACGCAACACAUACUGAUUAUAAUCUUUCACAAUUCUCAUGAUUAUAUCUGAUGUCGAUAUCCCCUCUGUUCGUUUAGUUUCUUUAAACUUCCCAAUCGACUUUACCUGCAGAUACCAAGCCCAAACUCCCUAAGAAACAAUAUGAAUGAGAAGAGAUAACCAGAGGAAGAAACUUACAAACUCAUAGACAUCGUUUCCAGCUCCACUAGCAUCCGCAUAUCUGAGGAAAAAAAACAUGACAUAAGAGUUAAAAACUAAAGACAGAACAACUCAAAGCAUUAAACCUUAAACUUACGGAAGAGCAUCAUGAGCUACGUAGUCGAUCUGAUGCUUAUCGAGAAACUCAGUGGUGAGAACCCAUGGUGCAUCUGGAAUCACUUCAUCGACCCACCUUGUUUACCAUAUAAAUAAUUUUAAACCCAAAAACAAAACAAAAACUCAACAAGAUAAAGACAUAAUCUCAGUGGUGUGUGUGUGUGUUUCCACAUUACUUGCAAUGUCGGAGAGAUUCAUAGCGUUCGGACUCUGUCAUCACGGUCUUUCCUUUGAAUUUGUUUGUGAUCUCGUCGUUACAACAUCCUACGAGCAGAUACGUGUUCGGAAACCUAAUUUGUUUCCGUUUCAAUUAGGAACUGAAUCAUCUAAUCAUAACAAGAAAAAAAAAAUGAAUGGGUACUUAACGAUUUCUUGGCUUGUUCGAUGGCGCGAGCGUGACCGAAAUGGAACAAAUCAUAGAUUCCAUCGGCGUAGACUCUAACCGGCCGGUUCGACGAAGCUGUUUCUUCUCCUGAAACCUUAUCGUCACCGUUAAUGGCCAUUCUUCUUCUUCUUUCUUGAUUUUUUUUUCUUUUUUGGUUUUCUUCUUAAAUGUGUUCUCCUUGUUUCUUUAGUUUUCUAUUGGGUCUCCCUCCAAUCACGUAAUUUUCUAAAUAAAUAAUGAUCUCUCAUUUUCAGACAGAACUGAGAUGGGGGGGAGAUAGAUGGUGAGCUUAGUUGGCCAUGUUCGAACACUGACAUGUACCAAAAGUCAAAAAUACAAAUGAUUCCUUUUUUGAAAUUUUGUACUUAAAAUUCAAUGGUUGAAUUAACUAACGAUAUGAUAAUAUUUUGGCCAUGUUUUGACCAAAAAAUAAUUAACUAACGAUAUGAUAUUAUUUUGUUUACUGUACUUAAACAACAAUUGAGAAUGUGGUGCAAAUGUUUUAAAUUUUCGAUUUUCACUAGUAAACGUUUAUCAUGUUUCUUCUUGAUAAAUUAUCAAAUUUGAUAGUACUUCGUGGACGUCUUUAUGUAGUUUUUAGAGUAGAUUGUUUGUGAAGUUUAAAGCAUGUGUAAAUAGUAAACAAUACUUGACAAUUCUUCUGCACAGUUCCAAUUAAUAUUGAUUUUACCACAAGAUUAGUAAACAUGAAUUUAUUUAGUGGCUGGGGGUAAGUAGUUUGUUCAAAAGGAGAAGGCAGGUAUAGGAAGACCGGGCGUAUCCUAAUUGAUUUGGCCUCCUUUUUAGUGAAAUCUGUGUAGUUUUGACAAAUAUGUUUUUGCUUCUCAAACUUUGAUGUUUUCUCUAUAAAAAUAUUUGAUCUGGGUAAAUUUAGAAAGUUAUGGAAGCCAUGGAAGCUUGUAAAUAAUCUUAAGGAGUAAGAAAUUUUAGAGAGAAAUAAGAGAGGUGUAGAAAAAUCCAGAAAAAGAUCACAACCGUUGAUUCAGUUUGAUCUUCACCGUUCGUUGAAGAGGUGGCUAUGUAAUAAAGGGGCAAGUUCCUCAUAUGUAACAUAUUCACCAAAUUAUCAGUAAGAACCACUUCUUUAAAUCUCUCUCUGUAAAAUCUCUCCUCUCUUUAAAGGAAGUUAGGUUUCGGUUAAGAAUCGGACUUGGCAACAACUUAGCAACUACAAGGUCAAACGUUCCGAUUCAGUGAAGAAUCUGUCUGAAUACAUGGAUAACUUACGUUCGUCCCUCAUGAAAGCAAAGCAUAAAGAUGAUAGUUGAUUUAACGCAGUGAUAGAUUAACACUUCUAGAGUCUUAUUAAGAAAAUAUAUGAAAUGGAAAAUAGACGAUAAGAUAGCUCAUAUAGAGCUUUAUUCAUAAGAAAAGUUGAAGAACAAAUAUAUUUGUUGCCAAGAUUAAAGAAGAUUUGGUUGAUAUUUCAUUGUAGAAAGGAGAAGCUUGAUAUUCAGUGUUUCUACUAGUUUAUAACAUAUGUUUUAAGUUUUUUAUUGAGUCAAAGUAUGUGUUAUAGAUUUUUAGGGGUGUAAUUUAGUGUAUACAGGAUUUAGGUAUGUUUGGAACAAAAUAGUCGAUGCAAAAAAAAAAUUGAAAAUGCAAAAUUGUGCAGAUGCAUAAGAAAUUUAGCAAUGGAUAUGGUGUGAUUGAGCUCAAAUUUUGACACAAGAUAUAAAAUGGAAUUAUGUUUUCAAUACCACUGGUUUGCGGUCCAUCCAUCAAGUAGAUGAUAACUCUGUCUACUGAUUCAAUACGAAAAAAAACUAAAAACUGUUUUCUUUAAUUUUAGUUUGGUUUUGUCUAAAAUUCAAUCACGACAUGUUAAAGUAAAAACAAUCAUCUUACUUACGAUCAAAAUUAAAGUAGAACAAAUAUUAAAAACAAAGUAAAACAAUUAUAUUUCAUGAACUUAUAAAUUGUGAAACAUAUAUAUUAUUUCUAAAUAGUAAUAAUAAUACAAACAGUAAAAGUUAUAGUAAAAAUAGUUAAAACUUCAAUCAAAAUUAAGUUAAAUAUUUUAAAAUUUCCAUUAAAGUUUAAAAUAUAUUUAUAUGAUUUCAUUUGUUUAAUUAACCGUCCAUGAAGUGGAUUUAAUUCUUACUGUUCAAUAAAAAUAACUAAGAUGAGUAGACAAAUACCCUGACCAAUCCAUAACUAAGAUGAGUAGACAAAUAGUUUUUUCAGUGGCGGAGCCACCUUAUACUAAGGGGUCAUCUGACCCAUAUCAAAUCUACAAAAUCUUAACUUUAGGCUUAAUAUCAUACUAAUUGCUGUCGUCUAUUGGUUAAACUCUUCUUUUAUGAUCCCCAUGUCUUGAGUUCAACAUUCUCAUUUAUCAUUUUAGCUAUAUAUUAAAUGAAUAUUGACCCAUGUGGAACAUAAACCUAGCUCCGCCACUGGUGCGGUUUGUGUUGGUUCUCUUGCUUCUUGUUUCUCAACACGUUCAAAAUAAAAACCAUGCCAAAAUUGACUAGAGUUUGAAUCUAUACUAUUAAAGUAGGAUCCUAUUGUUCUUUUUACCUUAACAUGCCCUUUUCAUUACUAACAUUGCAUGUUUCAUUAAGGGCAAUCAAGUAAUAUUAAUAACACAUCUUUAUUAGGUCAUUUAUUUCGGAUCCAGCCCACAUCAGAUCCAUUUGGGCCGAUUAAAAAAUCAGAUCCAGUUCUCACAUUUUUUUUUCUUUGGGCCAUUGAGUCUAAGUUCAAAUAAUUUUUUUCAACUAUUCUUAAUUAUUAUUAUUUUUUCUUCUCUUAAUAUAAUUUAAGCAUUCAUAAAAAAAUUUGAAUUUUUUCAUUGAAAAGUAUAAAUCUUUAUUAAAAGUAUAUAAUUUGUUUUAUUAAAAUAUUAACCACAUAAUAAAAUUAAUUUAUCAGAGUUAUACCAACUUAAUUCAUAAAAUAAAUAAAGUUUAAUUUUUAAAACAUAAAUAGUCAUUUAAAAUGAAAUAUAAUAAAUAAAGAUAAAAAGUUUAAGUCUUUUAUAAAAUAAAACACAAAUAUAUGAAAACUAGGGUUUGGCUCCGCCCUACGUGCGGGUGAAUGAAAAUAUAAAUUGAUUAUUUAUUUAUUACUGAAUUUGGCUAUCCAUCAUUUUGUCAAUUUUUUUACUCUUCUUUUCAUUUUUCUUGUGCUUAUUCAACACAACGUGAGAAAAAUAUGAUCCUAAAUAGAACCUCAUGUUUUUAUGAAAAUUUUAUCUGUUUUCAAGUUGUGGAUUAUAUUAUUAGCUUAUACUAAUAUAUUUUUCUUACGAAUAUGUUAAAAUUAAAAUUUUGGCUAAGCUAACAAUAUACCAUUAAUAUAAAAAGUAUUUAUGAACUAUUACAUAUUAUGUUAAUAUAUUUAAAUAAUAUAAAAACAAAGAGUUAAAAAGAGUUUACAUUUUAAAAAGUUAUAAUGAGGAAAAAGAUUACUCUUCUUUACAUAGAUUUUGAUUAGCUAGUUAUAUUAUGGGGAAAUUUUAUGUUUACCACUUUCAUGGUACCACUUUUUAUUUUUAUCACUAGUAAAUAGAUAUUUUCAAAAAUACAUUUUUCAUUAAGUGGUAAAAGACUCUUAUACUCUUAUUAUAUAUAUAUAAUAAAUCAUUAUUUAAAUAAUUAAAAAAUAAAAAUAAAUAUAAUAUUUUUUUUAUGUUUUCGAAUUAGUCUUUUUCAAAUUCGAACUUUUUUAUAAUUUUUUUUUGAAUUUGUUUUUUUUGAAUUUUUUUUUAUUUUUGAAAAUUGAAAAUUAUGUUCGAAACUAUUUUUUAAUUUUUUUUACAUUUUUAAAUAUUUAUUUAUAUAUUUAUUAGAAUCAUAAAUUUCACAUUUCAAAAACCCUACUCACCCCUCAGCUCUAAACCCUAAGUCUAGAUUAAUUAAUCCUAGAGGUAUAAAUGUCUUUUAUCCUUCAUUAAAAGUGAUGGUAAAAAUGAUUAGUAUAAACAUGAAAAAUAGUACUACGAAUGUGGUAUUUGUGACAGUUUCCCUUAUAUUAAUUAUGAAGAUGAUUUCUUAACUAUUGAGUUAGGUAGUAGAUCAGUUAUUCAGUUUUUCUUAAUCCAUUACUUUUUAGUGAUAAAUUUCAUAUUUAAAAAUUAUUUGAUCUUUACUAAAUAUUCUUAUCAUGAAAUGUAAAAACAAUUUAAAUUUUUCUAAAAGUUAUAAUGAGAUGUAAAUUUUUGUUACACCAUGAAACAGUUAUGAGGAAAAAGAUUAUUCUUCUUUACAAAAAAAAAUUUAUUUGAUCUUUACUAAUUUUGUUUUUGUGAUAAUUGUUUUCUGCUGAUUUAUUGAAUUAAAAUAUAAUUGCAUAAGCAUGGACCUCACGUCCAUUUUUGAAACUCCCUCUAUUAUUUUGAUUUUAACCCACCAAUUUUUUUUUAAAAGGAAUAAAUAGAUGAUUUUAAGCAACGGGGUAUGUUUCUCAAAAAAAAAAGGGGGUAUGUUCCCGUUACUCUAUAAGUUAAAAUGGUCUUGUUACUAUACAAUACAAAUGUUGUUCAAUCUUAUGAAAUUGAUAUUCACAUGACAAUGGUUGUCAUCUUGUGUUUUUGCUUUUUUUUUAUCUGAUAUGUCAUCACUAUAUAAACAUAGUGGCUUUGUUUUACUAUUUGAGUUUAUCUAACGCUCAUUAUUUCACCGUUGAACACAUUAAUUCACAAUUAGACGCUCCAAAUCUUGUUUUGAUAGUCAAGAGCUCUGGCAUACAUGGUGAUGGGCAAAAACAAACACAAACAAAGAGGUAGCAGGACAUAUUUUGUGAUGUAGUCGUAAACCG